UUUUUUUUUUUUUUUGUGUGUGUGUGUAAUGUUCGAAAAGUAUUUGUACAAAUCGGCUCGGCGAUAGAGGACGCAUUGAUCCCUCUUAACGUAUGUUUCAGUCUCUCGUUUGGCGCUUUGCUAUUGCAGAGGCGCCGGAGGGCUUUAUUAGGGUUUUUGAGUUGAGCUCUGUCGUCGUGGUUUCUCUUCCCCCACCGAAACCGCUGAUUCGUGGUCUGUAGUCGUCGGGGUCUAAAGCGCAAGUUCCUCGGAAUGGAGAUGGAAGAUGCUCCGAGCAAUUUCGACCCCCAAGAUCUCAGCAGCAGGGAGCAGUAUCGUCGCUACAGGUGAACACCCCAACCUUUUCUUUGACACAUAUCUUAUCAUUUGCUUUCCUCGUUCCCUGACGGUCCCGCUAGGGUUCGGCAUCGUCUUCUCCCUAUUUGAACAAAUUACACUCCGCAUCGAUCAAGAAGUACCUUGAAAUUGUGAUGUUUUGGCGCGAUCUCAACACUAAUCCGCGAUGUCCGUUCUCAUGGCUUCAUAUGUCGAGACGUGUGUUAGCGACAGUGAUCGCAAGAGAGCAACAGAAAAAUUUGAGACCUGCUUCUGGUAUCUGAUCUUUGGUGAUAUUGAUUUGAGGUUGGCUACGGGUCCAGCAUUCGAUGUUUGUUGUCAUCGUGAGGUUUCUUUAAAUUAUACGGUGAAGGAGAGGUUUGCAUAGUGUUUAGAAUGUAAGGUGACACUAGAUGCUUUUGCAUUUGUUUUUUUAUUAUGUUUGUGACAUUAGCCAAAAAGGGUUAUUAGAUGUGCAUUUGAUGAAAAAUCAGAGUGAUAGUGUUCCAUAUCCUUGUUUCACACGAAAUUCAUAAAUUGGAACAAUAAAUUACUCUUGCCACUUAACAAAAUAUAAAACUUGUAAUGUCAUCGACACAUCUUCUGGUUGUUUAGUGCUUGUACGGCAUGAGGAGCAACAGAAACGUUGCUAUCUUCAUGUGACUCGAGCAUCGUGCUGCCAAAAAUUAGAUGCCAGUAUGUAACAAAGAAAGACACAUAUGUGUUGAGUGUUAUCGAGCUAAACAAGCAGAUGUGGUUUUUAUGAUUUUUACAAUUAGAACUUCUGGAUCCCACUUAUUGAUAUGGGGUACAACUUUUGUUGUUUAAGUAUGGCAUAAUCUUAUGAUUUUAUUGUUUCACUUACAUUAGGCUAUCUAGUUCGCAUGACAACCAGAACAUGACUACAUGUUUAUCUUGUACAGGAAAAGGCAAUCGACCUCAAAUAUUUCGCCACUCGUAGGACAUUCAGUGUCAAAGUUUUCUGAGGCAAGAUUGUUAUAUGAAGGAAACAAUAUUCAACGACGGCCUAACACCGCACUUCUCCUUGAAGAGAUCAAACAGGAAGUAGACAAUUUCGAUACUGAUGCUUCAUGGAAAAGACGAGCAUCAAUUGAUAGUCAUGCAGUGUCAGAAGUGAAAUUUGGUGAUUCAUUGCGCCAAGGAGUAAGCCAUGCGCUAAAAAUUGGCAAACAUGAAGAUGAGGCAUUACUAGAAGCUGGAGAGUCAACUUUUACAUUAUUUGCCUCUCUCCUAGACUCUGCACUUCAAGGUUAGUAUGGUGAUAUGGGGAAUCGUCUAUCCCUCAUGUUGGUGGCAAUCCUAUGUUCAGAUUUUUCAAUGCAGAUCAAAUCAGGUCCUAUUUCUUUAAUUUAAAGAAUAGAAACAAUGUAGUUAUUGAUACAAUGAUACAAUGGAGUAUAUUUGAUACUGGCUGUUGUUGGUGUUUGGUAACAGUGACAAGCCUGUCAAUUGUGUUGAAUUGACUUACUUAAAAUUCGGACCAAUCUCCUAAUAAGUAGCUUUUUUGUUUUGUAUUUAGAGAAUGCAAUUUCAUAAUUUAGGAAUUAUGUUGGUAGUGCUGGUUCAUGCUGAUCAUGGUGCUACUCUGCUAGCUAGUUAAGGUUUGGUGUCUAGGUGCAAACUUGGAAGACCUUGCCUAUCAGGAUAAUAAUUGGAAUAAUUUUCUUUGUCUGGGAUUGUAUCAUUCGUUAUAUGCUGUAUUAGACAAAAUAAAAGAUAAAAAAUGGGAAGAAAAAAAUAGAGUAGAUAGAAGAGGAGGUUUCCUUGCAUCAUGGAAACAAGGUGAUAAGUUUUCCUGUUAGUUCACAUCUCAUUUUUAGAUUUUUAAGUUCCUUUUGGUGGCUACUGAUUAUAAUGGAUCUCUUUUUCUUCACAGAACAGUCAAAUUUUGUGAUGAUUGUUAUUACAAGUAAACCUGACUCUACUGGUGUAUAUAUGUUUUAACAUUGUCGUGCAUAUCACAGGGUUGAUGCCCUUUGCUGAUCUCAUUUUGCGUUUUGAGAAGGCAUGUCGGAGUGUCUCUGAGUCAAUCAGGUCUGUUUUGCACCUAAAUCAGACUCUGCUUUUAUAUAUUUGUUAGUCCGGGUGUUAAUGAACACUAUGGUGGGUUGUAUUUUAUCUCAAAAAUCUAAAGAUUGUUGUUCCUUCAUCUUGUGAUAUUACCCUACGUAGAGUUUGGUGGUGGGUAAAGAUCCAAUUAGUUGACACCAAACAGUAGGGACAUUAUGACUUUUUAUUGUCUCAGUACAUUCCUUGUUACGUGUUGAUUAAUUUGAUUUCUUUGAUUAAUUCAGCUUGUGCUAUCCCCCUUGAUCUUUAUUUCCUAGGAGUAAUUCUCGAUAUAGUAUUGCACAUAUUUUGCGUUUUCUAGAAAUUUAAAUAAAUAAUCUGGUUGUCUUUGAAAAUACUAUAAGCAUAUGUAAUUUGGAAAAUAAAUUCGACUCUGGUUUUUGGUGAUAGAUAUAACUUCAGUUCAGGAUACAAUAUCUUGGAGGAGUAUUGGUUUCAGCAAAUUUGGUAUCUAAAGUGAUGUUGGCCAUCUUGGAUUUAGUUCAGAAACGUUGUCAAAGAUAACUGUGGUAUUAUGCUUAUUGCUAAUAUUCAAAGUCUCAUGAAAUUGGUGAAAUGUCUCUAGACUUGAUCGGUGCUGUUGUAUUAUGAAUGAUAGGGUGGAACCUAAGCUGAUGUGGUAAACAUGGAAAGCAUGGAAAUUAUUUCACAAUACACUUAGCAUAUCAGGCGGGUGCAAACCAUUGCAACUAGGUAUUGGGAUGUUGAGUACCACCCAGUUUGUAGACAUUAUGCUGUAGACCAAUUAUUUUAUUCAUUAACUGGUUUGGAUCAACUUAAACUUUUGAUAUCUACCAUAUUUCCUGUGUGUUCUAUUCUAUCCUCUUUCUUCCCUUUCUACUUCUGUCUGGUUGGCUUUUACCUUUGGAUAUUGGCCUGCCACUGGUGCCUCUUCCCUUGGCACCCCCUCUCACACAUUAUUGGUGGGCAAUCGUUGAGUAUUUGACAGUGAGUUGGGAGGGAAGAUGAGAAAGAGGAGAAAAAGUGGGGUAAUAGAGGUAUAUAUGAUAUUCUGAUGUACCAUUCUUUUCCUUAUUAUUAUUAGUCUAUUACUGUUAUUCUAUUCACUAUUAUGUUUCUUUGCUUUCUCACUAUAUUUGGUUGUUGCAUUAUGCAGAAUAUCACACUAACUUUAAAGCUAAUUUGUGAAAAAUAUUUCCGUUGAUGAUUUAGAUAUUGAUGUAUAGUAAAUGCAAUAUAAUUUAGAUUCAUUUUAUAUUAUAUCGACUCGUGGUUUCAUUGUCUGGCUUCCUUUAGUAAGAUGCAUUUGUUGCUUUGUGACAUGCACUGAGGGUGACGGGUCCCUGCCGCCUCAAUGUACUUUGGGUCUCUAACUCUAUUGAAGCUUAAUUCUUUUGUAGACAGAAUUUAAUCAAUUUGAAAAUAUUUAAAUCAAGAAAUGAAUAAAUUGGAAAGUUGCAUAGUCAAAACUAUUAAAAUAUCAUUCUUCGUUGUGAUGAAAUCAAUGAUGAACUGAUAAGAAUUUUCUUUAAUAUGAUAUUUCAAUUCACUCUAUGAAACAUUUUGGUAAAUGUACAUCCUAAGAAGAGUUAGCAGAUUUUUUUUGGGUAAAUUAAUUCCUCAUAGUUCCGAGGCAUAGAUGUUCUUUGUGACUUUUCGCUCAAUUUGCUGUUAAUGCAGGUGUGGUAGUACUGGGAGGCACCGGGUGGUAGAGGACAGAAUCAUGCAGCAAAAGGCUCGUGUUUUGCUUGAUGAGGCAGCUUCUUGGUCACUUCUUUGGUAUCUCUUUGGAAAAGGAAAUUACUCUAUGUCCAUAAAAAUCAUCUGAGCUUUUAACCUGUAUUUUAGCUGGGUUUCUUGUCAUGUGGCAUCUGGAUGUUCAUUAUAAUCUAUGACAUGUUUGCAGUCUUUUUCUGUUAAAGUCUAAGAUAUCAGGAUAUAGGAAUUCCUUUCUCGAUUUAAUUUUUUGUAGAAGUGAAAAUAUGCAUAUUGUUUGAUUUUAUCUUGAACAAUUUUUUGCUUCUACAGUUUAUGUUCUUCAAAAAGUGAUGCCAUUGUAUUACAUUAAAUGGAAUCUUGGAGUGAAGUUGUUUCCUAGUGUGUUUGUUUUUCUUUUUAAAGAAAGCAACCUUCAAUUAAAAGCCUGUGACAGCAUCAGUCCCCAAAAAAAUACAAAAUUCUCCUCCAAUGCUGGAGGAGAACAAAAAAACCUUGCUUGAUUAGCGAGGGUAUGACCAGUACUGUUGUUUGUCCUGUUAACAUGCUCAAACCACAAAAUAUUGACAGACUCAGCUAAUUUGAAGAUAUCAGAACAGAUAUUACGGAGCUGCCAAGGAAUAGGCCUAUCUCUAUUACAUAUCAACACAGCCUCUAAAGAGUUAGAUUUGACAGUGAAGUUGGAAAAAUUCGGCUGAGCAGCCGAGUUUAAUGUGUCCCAAAUGGCCCAUAGUUCUGCUUGGAGAGAACUAGAAGCUAGAUGUGUGCUGCUUCCCUCAUAUAUGUUGACCCCAUUGUGAUCUACAAACAGAAACCAGUUCCUGCAUUAGACUUCGGGUUAAUGAAGGAGCCAUCACAAAAAAACAGCAAGGGAGAGAGUGCUUGGAUUCUGUUCCUUAAGGGGAGAAGAAAAGAGUUGUCCUCAGGGGCCUGGGUUUGGUUUUGAUGAUCAUUGCACUUGAGGGUUGAGUGAACUUUAAACCAGAUGGUAAGAGGCUGGGAAUGACGGUUACUGAACUUGGUUUCAUUCCUGUUCUUCCAAAUGAACCAAAGAAAGGUAGCAAUAACAGACGUAGUGUUGACUGAAAACUGCCUUCCUCUUUGUUCUCCUUCCCUUAGCCAGUCCCCAUUAGCCCAUUCAUGCAUGAAAGAAUAGUUGAAACCCAGUUUUGACUGUAAGAGAUCCAAAUAGGAUUUAGCAAAGUGAUAAGUGGAAAAAAUGUGUUCAGCAGAAUCAACCCUCCCAUGAUAGACACAACAUUGAUCCACAUAGCAGCGAAUCAUGUUUGAAAACCACAAAGAGGUAGGCAGUCUUCCCCAAAGGAGUUUUUACAAAAAGAUUUUGAUUCUAGGAAGAACAUUCAGCCCCUAUACAGCCUUCUAGCCAAACCAAUUCUUCCCAUGGUCAAGAUGCUUAUCCCUCAAGAACUGUUAGAUGCUCUAUAAUGUCGCUAACCCUUGCGGGUGAGGACACCAAACCCAGCUGUCAUCAUCAUUGGACUCGGAGGUUAGGUGUAUACCUGAUAUCUUACCAACUAGAUGUGGAUGAAAAAUUUUGUUAUCUGCAUAUUCCAUCUUCUUUGGAUUAUCAAGUCAUUAACACAGUACAAGUCAUUGGCAUAGUCACAGUUGAUGAAGGUUGGCCAUUUUGCUUAAAGGAAUACAAGAUAUCCAAGGGUCUUCCAAAGUCUAAUCGCUAAACACAAACCAACUAUUAUCCUGAGCCCCUCUUUAAUAUCAUGGAUGGUACAGGUUGUACCUUUCCAGAUUGGGGAAGCUCGUUUCCCCCCUAAAUCCCCCUUCAAUAGUCUAGCCCAGAGAGAGUUGGACCUAUUCAGGUUCAGGAGAAUGCACCUAGCAUUAACAGCAUAUCUAGCUAUAUUAAUGUCCCUUACACCUAAGCCUCUAGAGUCUUUAGGUGCAGUGAUAUGAUUCCACCUAAGCAGCCGGAGUUUUGUAUGGGUGGAGGUGUGAGAAGAAAGAUUUGCUGUGCUUAGAUAUGUUGUUGGCAAAUUUGUUGGUGGUCUAGCAACUCGCGAUAGAAUGGGGAGGAAUGGAGUUAAGGACUGAAUUUAUCAGGAUAACUUUACCAGCUUGUGACCGGAGGUGUUUCUGCCACCCAUUAAUCUUGCUAAGGGACUUGUCUAUAAUUUGUGUUUGGAUAUUGGUGGGGAGGUGAUUGUGAGCUAGAAAAGUACCAAAGUAAGGAAUAGGCCAGCUUCCUUCCAUGAACUCUAGGGUGCUGCAAACCCUGUGCUUGAUUUCAGCAGGGCAGUGCUUGGGGGAAAAUAACAGCAGAUUUCCCUUUGUUGAUGUUAAGCCCUGUCAGACUGGAGUAUAAUCUGAAGACCUUGGAGAGAUGCUUGCAUGAGUUAGGGGUUACUCUAAUGGUGAUAAGAACAUCAUCUGCAAAGACAAGAUGCAAAAUUUUAAUGUUUUUGACAGGGAAUGGUUUGAUUUUGUUCUGAUUUACAUUCAAGUCCAAAAGGGAAGAGAGAAGUUGUUGGACAAUAACAAAAAUGUAGGAGGACAUUGGAUCUCCCUGCCAAAACCUCGGUGACUUUUCAACCAUCUAGAGCUGAAGUUCUUGAUGUUGCAUUUGAAUUUAGGGCAAGUAACACAGGCCAUGACCCAAUCAAUUAGCCUUUGGGGGAAGUUCAUCAUGCCAACAGUCCUUGCCAAAGGAGACCAAGAUAGGGAAUCAAAGGCCUUUUGCAAGUCUAUCUUCAUCAUAAUGAGGGGUUUUUUGUCGUGUGAAUUGUACAUCGAGUGGGUGAGCUCUUGGGCAAUGGUGAUAUUGUCAUGGAUACAUCUUCUCUGGAUAAAAGUGAACUGUUCUUGGUUGAUGCGGCUACCAAGAAGGGGUUUGAUGUGAUUAGCGAGAACCUUAGAAAGGGGUUUGUAAAUGACAUUACACAAGGCGAUGGGGUGGAAGUCAUUGAUGCGAAGGGGACCCUCCUUCUUGGGGAUGAAAACUAGAAUAGUUUCCCCCCAACUGUUCGGAAGGAUAAUAGUCUUGUGGAAUUCCUUAGAGGCUGAGAAUAUGGAGGGCUUGAGAAGCUCCCAAAAGUGGAUGAAAAACUCUAUUGUGUUGUUACGAACUUAGUUGGAAUUGUAUAAGUUGUGAGUCACACUUGUAUUAUUUGUCCAUAAAAGGUCAGCCUAGUUGCAACCUUGCUCAAGUUUUGAAGGACAAGUAAAAGAGCAAAUUGAUUAAUUCAGAAAAUGAGCAACAUACAAGUCUUGACGUCUCGCAAAAAGGUCAACUUUACAAGCAAUUCAAGAAACACUUGGUGUGCAAGAGAGAAAAGAGAGAAAGGAGAAAAUAAGGACUUUAGAAGGCAAACGAAUAGUCGCAAGUCCAUAAACGAUAGAGUGUCGGGCGCAUUGGCAAGUCCCUAUAGGUUUUAUGUGCAAACUUGUGAAUUAAAUCAACAUCCAAUACUACCUCAAACCCCCAUCUAACCCUAUGCUACUCGGGUUGUUCUAGGGUGCUGAGAUGGUUGACGUUUCGUAUCACACUGUAGCUUGCAAAAAACAAGCCAGGGCAUUCGAAAAUGGGCUAUUUUGAGGCACUUUUGCCCAUUCUGGUGAGUGGUUGCUUUGCAGCCAUGCAAAUGUUUUUACUCAGUUUUUAAGCAAAAACAUACAAAAUCAAGGCAAAACACCCUGCCAAACAUAUGUACAAGCAAACAAAAGUAACGAAUAGUCUGUUGACAAAGGUGUUAUGGGUGCACGAUGAUCAUCUGUGAUAGUGUAGCCAUCUGGGCCUGGGCUUUUUCCCCGGCUCAUCGACUUGAGGGCAGUAAGGAUUUCAGAGUUAGAGAAAUCAGAGGUCAGGCUGGACCACUUAUUUGUACUAACCUGAGGGAGAGAGGGGCAAUUAGACCAGUCCUCACUACUGCCUCCAUGGUCAUCCACCCAAAGGUUGAACCGUUGGAGUACCAAUCAGCAAAGUAAUGACAGAAGGUGCUAGGGUCCUGCAAGCAUUUCCCAUUGUCAAGCUUUAAGUGUCUAACAGUAUUCAGGCGUUUUCUAAGUCUGACCAAGUUAUGAAAAUACUUGGUAUUCUUAUCACCUUCCUCAACCCACUGGACCUUGGUUCUCGACCACCACUUGAUAUGGAUUUUUCUAUUCAAGGCCAUAUGCUUGUUAUAUAACCCAUUUGUCUAUUCAGGCAUAAUUCCUAAGUUCUCCUUGGACUUGUUCUUCAUCUGCUUGGAAACAGAGUGAAGAUUCUUUUCAAGAUUGUCAACAUGAGUUCUGUCCCCAGUGGAUUAGACUCUGGAGGUUGCUGUGAAGCAAGACCAGGCAUUAGGACAGUUGACCUCAGUUGGCCAAGGGUUUUGGAAGACAUGAUUGAGGCUAUUGUAUUCAAGCCAGUGAGGCUCAAAGCGGAAAGGCUUUUUGGUUCUUAUCCUAACCUGAUCAGUGGAGAUCUUAAUAAGGGCGAGUGGUCAGAUGCUAUACAAGGCAAAUGGAAAACAGAUGCUACACUAGAUGCUAUAGUAUUCUAGUGUACAUGUUAAUAUGAAUUUUUUGUAGAGAUAAUAAAAUUUUCUCUCGCUCUAAAUAUUGUUUACAAAGUUAUACCAGACUUCAAAAACACACUGAUUGUGGAAGUUCUUUGUUGAGAGAUCCUUCUAACUGAAAACUCAGGUCUGAACAAAUAAAUCUAGCUAUCUGUUUGAACCAGUCUUGCUCUGCUUUCAUCUCAGUUAUCAGAUAAAAUCUAAAUCUGUUAAUUUUAUACCUUAUUCAUCUACAGCAAGAUUUUUUCUUUGAAUUCUCAUAUCAUCAAUUUAGAUUUUGUUAAUAAUCAUACCUUUCCUGCAUAACCUUUCAUAAAACUUAAACCACUUUAGGCAGUCCUGACUAUCCUGUAAUAUCUUUUUUCAUUCAUCCAAGAUUGUCUCUGUGUUCCAUGGUUCAGCUCAGCUUAUGCAGAGUGGACAGUUAGAAAUAUAGGUCCAUUGCAAUUUGUUCUAUAUCGUGUGUGAUAUCUUGUUCAGUCUCAGUUUGCAUCUUUUAACUGCCCAAUAUAUGAGCUCAAAUAUUUAUGAGAGAACUUUUUGGUUGGAGGCUAAAUUGAUUGUUUGAGGAAUUAAUUGGGAUAUUUGGGAGUUCGCAAAUGGUUGCACACUACAACGGAAUGGAGGUUCAUGGUAGGGAUUAUGGUGGUGGUGAGUUCAUCUAAAUAAAACAAUAUUGGAGUCAAACAAUUGAUUAGAAGUUAGGAAUGAAUAUUGGGGGUAUGAUAAGGAGAUGACAAUGGAUGAUGUGGGCAAGAGUACACGGGCAGAGGAGAAGACAAUGGACAAAAGUGAAUGGAGGGGGUUACUAAAGCAGAAAGCAUUAUGAUUAGGGAAAAGCAAGAUCAUGUUUUAAAUAAUGUUAACUUCUUGCACCUUUUUGGUCUCUUUAUUGGCAUAAUUAGUUGGAUAUGCUCGCCUCCAUUCUACUGGAUUCUUACAUGCUUGCUUAGGGAGUAAAUGAAACCAUUUAAUCAGUUUGGAUUUGUGUCACUGAAACUUAAGAUUCACCCUUAAAUUGGUUUGUGCUGUACAUGGACUUCUGUGAUAUAUUAUUCCAUAUCACUGGAUGUUGCAUGUUUACGAAGUUUAUUUAUUUAUUACUAAGUUCACAUCAUCAGUGAGAUAAUGAUCAGAUUGUUUUUCAUAUGGACUUCAUUCUUCUGCUUUUAGCAUGUGUAUUUGCUACAAAAGAUAUGCGGGCCUCUUUAUUAGACUUUUUAGUUUUUACAUGUGUAUCUGCUACAACAGAUACGUCAUUCUGUUUGCUAGGAAAAUUAUAUUCCAUGGGACAUGAUACUUCCUGAAGUUUUAGCUUUUCUAUAUUUGAAUUGGUUUCACCAUACUGCAGGAAAUGAAGAGCUUCCUGGAAACCUCCUUGUGGUAAUUAUGAUGAAAAUUCUAUCUUCCUUAUUCUUUUUUAGACUUAAUGAAGCAUUUUGAUUCUUUUUGCUUAAACCAUGCAAUGUUUGUUAUUCUUUGCAGACACCAACAACAUCACAUCAGGAAGCCUGCCGUUUUGUAAUGAUGGAUCAUACGGCACAACUAUGCCUUCGAAUUGUCCUUUGGCUAGAAGGUCUUGCCUCAGAAUCUCUUGAUUUAGCAAAGAAGGUGUGCUAUUUUAUGUGCAUUAAUGUGAAGGUUUAAGGCUAUUUUAUGCUGAAUGAGAUAGAUUUUUUUGAUGGUAAAUAGCACUGCUAGCUGUGAGGAAUUGAACUUGAAUAUUCAAUCUUUGGAGAAGUGAUGGUAUUUAAAAGGCCGAGUUAGCAUCGAGAUAAAGUUACUGUAUAUAGUAUUUAUUAGUUAUUAGGACUGUCCUAUAUAAUCAAAUGACUUGGUAGGACUUUGAUUCUAUGGUUCCACCUUAAUUACCCGGCUUGUACUCUCUUUUAUAUCAAAAAUGUAAAAUGUGCAGGUUUAACAUAAUCAUUGGUUGUUUUUCCAUCACUGGUUUCAGAGAUCUUUGAUCCAGGGUUGUGAACUCAGUUUGUACCAACAUUUAGCUGGGUGUUGGACCAGUACAGUAUGUGUGGGUGCAGACCAAAAAUUCUACGUGUUCUAUAUGUGGCUGUUGGAUUUGCGUGGGAGUGAAAAAGAAACGCAGAGGGGGAUGAUAUAUAUAUACAUACAUAUAUAUAUAUAUAUAUAUAUAUAUAUAUAUAUAUAUAUAUAUAUAUAUAUAUAUAUAUACACACACACACACACACACACACACACAUACAUACAUAUACAUACAUACACCUAGUCCUAUUGUUCUUUUCACUUGGAGUCUUAGAAUUAAACUUCUUCCUCUUCAUCGUUACCUUUCUUGCGAAUUGCAGAGGAAAGAAUGACCACCUUUCAGACCUUUCAAAGAUUCAAUGUUUUGAAUCUCUGAUACUUAAAUUUGUGUGUGUCUUAAAUAGUGGAUCUCGUUCUAACUUCAAGAAUAAAAAGAAAGAACCCAUAAUAAGGGCAUAUUCCUAGACAAGUACAUUUGGUUGGUACCCUCAAUAUGCCACAAUUAUUUAAUUGCUUGUUACAAAUAGUAAAUCAAUUGAAGCCAUACAUUUUGGUGGUGGUGUUUUUCCGUCACAACCUUGAGUUCAUCUUUGAACUUUUUUGUUCAUCUGCUCUUAAUACUGUAAUAAAGGACCGCGUACUGCCUAAAAUCUAUGUAGUGUUAAAACUGAAAUAAGGGAUCAUAUACUGCCUAAAAGUUGGUUUUCCUUUUGUCUUUGUUAAUGGUUGAAGCCUAAAAGGCUAAUUAAACUGUUACCAAGCACUAUAUUGGCAUCAUAAGUUUGUGAUUAUGUCUAACCAUUCUUUACUGCUUGCUAGAGUACUAUUUUGUAGAUGAGAAGGUUUCCUGUUGAUUCCCUAUUUUUUCAACACCUUCCAUGCACUGGUUAAAGCUAAGUAAGGGCCCAUGGGUUCUUGAUAGCUGCUUUUGUUUUUAAUAUACCCCAACAUAACCACCAAACAUUUGAAGCAAACAUCAUAUAUCUAUCACUAUGUUGGUUUAAUCUUUAUUAUUGAGUUAUUUUUUUCUUUCAGGUGAGAGGGUCUCAUGUUGGCUCCUAUUUUCCAAGCUCUGGUGUUUGGCAUCAUACACAGAGGUAUUUAAAGAAAAUGAGUGGUGAUCCAGCGAUAGUUCAGCACAUGGAUUUUGAUGCCUCAACACGUGAAGUAGCUCAACCAAUUUUGGAUGACAAAGUACUUUAAACUUCAUCUCAUAUUUAGCUUAUGUGAUCAGUGUUUUAUAUUUUACUAUUUAGAUGCUCUGUUAUCAACAUACUGUAGCUGAUGCAAUCUUUUUGUCGGUAAUUUUCUCAAUUUGCUGGACUUAAAUUGUUUUGUAAAUGGCUGUGCAACAUAUUUGAUCUCCUGUAUCAGUUAACUGUCCAUAUUGUUUGAUUUGUGCUACAUUAUAUUUCUGUCAUUGUCUUGUUAUUAAUUUAGUUUCUUUAUUCUGAUGUUUAAAAUGGAAUUACUUGCAUGCAUCUACUGUUAGAAAAGACAUUAUUUGAGUGGGAUUUUUGUCUGAGUUCAUACUUCCAUCCCUCAUGUUUUAUUACAGUUUUGUUUUUUGCAGUUACAAAUACAUUUUCAUCUGUAUUGAUAGAAUUGACUCAGGGCUCAUCGUCUCAGAUGUUGAAUAUGCUAUUUGCACUGUUACCAAUAUUGUUUGGACCAAAGUUUGCAAUAUCGUACCGUACCGGUGUUUCGACUUUCGCUCGGUAUAUAUAUAUAUAUAUAUAUAUAUAUAUAAAAUCCGAAAUAGGCCCCUCAGCAACGUCGUCGAACAUCGCCUUUUUCUAAAAUAUUUAUAUAUAAAUAAAUUAUAUAUAUAUAUAUAUAUAUUAUUUUAUUAUUAUUUUUCGUUCCGUCCAAUAGCGGGCGGUCCGCGUACCGGCAUGCCAUCGGACCGGUAUGUACCGCCCGUACCGGGAGGUAUCAUUCGGUAAUGCCUACCUUGAGUAUUGGACGGCUGAGGGUCGGAAGAAUUUUGCUAAAGCCAAGAAUGUUUUGCCAUUUACAAUAAUUAGCUGGAAGAAAACCAUCAAUAUAGCUAUCUGGAGAACUUAUAUCUUAUACACCACUAUUUACCUGGACAGGGUCCCACCACUUUAGAUAUGUGAGAGAUUGCAUCACUCAGAAAAGUGAUGCAGCUAAAUGACAUCCCUAUACUGGUGCUACAUGUUUCUGUUCUCUCGGAUCUUGUAAUAUUCUCCUGGAUUCUCUUCAGAAAAGCAAUGCAGCUGAAUGACAUUUUCCUAUAGCUGUGCUAUAUGUUUUAGUUCUCUCUGAUCCUAUAUUAUUCUCCCACUACAUCUCUGAUCCCAUAUUUUUGUUGUGGCUACAUUUAUUACUAUGUUAGCUUUACUAUAGUUCAGGUACGAAAGACAGCGGAGUACAUCUAUAGACUUGAACUAAUGAUAAGGAAUGUAGUCUGGGAUUUAGGUGAUACUAGUCGCAACUUAAGCAGAAGAUCAAGGAGUUUUCACUUUUUAACUUGCAUGUCUUGCUCUCUAGAGGCUGAUUUAGGCUUUAUAUGAAUAUUUCUAAAAAAUGAGCUUUUUUGUAGCUUAGGGAUAGCAAAUACAGAUGCUAUGUGCUUAUAAUGGGCCAUGGAAAAUUUUGGAGCGAAUAAAUGUAAUGUCCUCCAAAAUCCCACAUAAAUUUUGAAUAUUCGUGUCAUGUAGACCUUAACAAGGACAUCAAUGAUAUGAUUGUACAUGAUUCUCAUUCCCUAUUAUUCUUUGUAGUAAAGAUUGCUUUUUAGUUGAUAUUGCAACUUUCAUGCCUUCUUCUAUCUGUCAUAAAUGAUUACAUGAAUGCUUGCUGGUAAUGUAAACAGAAGCAAGAUGAAUUAUUGCUGGAAGAUAUCUGGACUUUACUUCGAGCAGGGAGAUUGGAAGAGGCAUGCGAAUUAUGUCGUUCUGCAGGGCAGGUUGGCAAUGUAUACUAUAUUUGUGAAAAUUUACCCGACCAUUUGCUUAAAAAGUAUUUCUUUCAUUUGGUUUGACUGUUCAGCCUUGGAGAGCUGCAAGUCUUUGCCCCUUUGGAGGGUUUGACCAUUUCCCUUCUGUUGAAGCCAUGCACAAAAAUGGUAAGAUGAGAACUUUGCAAGCCUUUGAAUUGGAAAGUGGCAUAGGUCACCAAUGGCGUCUUUGGAGGUGGGCAUCAUAUUGUGCCUCGGAGGUAUGACUUCUUAUUGAGUUCCUUCUUUUUUGCUGUAUUUUUUGAGUUCAUCUUCUUCCAAUCCCGAUUCAAUCUUGCAAGAUAAGGAAAAAAUGUUAUUCUUUUGAUGUAUCUUUAUUCUACUAUUGCCUAUUUAUGUCGUUUAAACCCAGUUUUAGUAACCUUGAUGGAGAUGUCACAGAGCUGGAUUGGGAGGGCAUUGUUCAAUGUGUUUCAUUUUUUGUUGAGCUAUAUAAUAUGAUAUAUUAUGUAAUAUAUAACAUAAUAAUAUAAAUAUUUAAAUAAUCUUCUACUUCAUAUUUGUUGAAUAUUUAACUUUCUAGAAAGGCAUAUGAAAUCCAGAUGUAACGAAUUAAACUUUGUAAAAGAAAUAUUUAUAAGAAGUUCUUACAUUAAAUAUAGUGAAGAAUAAUUCAAAAGAGGGUGAAGCAUGGUGUAGUAAAGUUGUUUCUCUAUGAUCUAAGUGAUUAGAAUUAGAGUCAUAGAAACAAUUUCUUGCUUGUACAGAUGACACUGUUACACUUCCUGAAACCUCAUAAUGUCAGGGAACUCCUGCAUUGGCCUACCCCUAUAUAAUGGAGAUAGAAAUAUUAAAGUUGAUUUUUAUGUAUUUAUUACAAAAUAAUUAGUAAUCAUAUUAUACAAAGACAACUUUAUAACUAGCAGUUAUAUACAAGUCAUACAGAAGGUGUAAAACUUAUUCACCUGUAACUUUGAUGAUAGCAAUGAACACCAUUGUACUCCAAUGCUUCUUUAAUCAAUGUGCAUCAACUGUUAGGUGAUGCAAAGACAAAUAAAGGAUAAUUUCUUUAAAGACUGCCCAUGAAAUUUCGUAUCAAUUAUGGAUACCAUUAUAUUUCCUUUUUUUCUGACAUAUCUAUUCUCUUAAAAGGUUAAGAAACUUUGCAACAAUGGUGACUGUUAUAGAGAAUAGUAGCAGCAUGUUCUCUGUUUUACACUUACAAUAGUUGGCAUCUCUUUUGUCUUUUCAUUUUAUCUUUUGUCUUCUUCUCCUUCCACAUUUCUUUUCUUUUUUUCUUUUGAUACUGUCAGUUAACAAACAGUUGGCCUUCUCUGGUUGAUUUUAUAAAUUCUAGUCGAUUUGGACUAAUUUCUCUUUGUAAAGCUGAAAAACAAUCAAAUUCAAAUCAUAGAAAUACCAUUUCAUGUUUAUGUAUAACAAUCGGUGCAUGGCAAAUUGGCACAAGAUGGUCUAAGUGAAUACAUUUUGAUAUUAAUUUUUAAUUAAAAUGGAUUUUAUCAUUAGAAGCAAGAUACAUAAGGAUAUAUUUCUAGUAAAUGGAGGGUUUGAAAUUGGAUGAAGCAAAAAAUAAGAUUUUUGGUGAGUGAUGGCCUUUCACCUAUUGUUGACCUCAGCUGAGGUCUUAGAUCUUGGUUCAUAUGGAUAAUUGCUGGUUAGAUAGCAAUCUGGAAGGAAUAUGACACAUGAAGUGACAGCCUUUUUGGGUGUAUUAAAGGAAAACCUUGUUUGUGCUAUUUAUAUACAGGUUUGGUAAAACUAAAAUAGACCUGAUUAAAAUCCUAAAGGACAAUGCUUGCCUAUAAAGCUUGAUAAACAAUUAUUUUAGGGUUUUAGAAGGGUUCCCAGACUACGUUGAUCCUUCACUGGUUGCAACUAACGAGGUGCAACCAGCAGAGUGGGUCCUAGAAUGAGGAAAAGAUCUUAAAGAGGAGGCAAGCUAUAUUAAUUUUUUUCACUUUGUUUCUGAUUAUAUUUCUUCUCUCUCAUUCCCCCAGCCAUAAAUUUUAGUAUUCUGUCACAUCAAAGUUGAUUUGAUGCUUUUGCCAUAUAUAUCAUGUUCAAAUCUUAUGAUUGUUUUGAGAUAACAAUCAACUGAUUAAAUAUGAAUUGCACUCCAAAUGUCUCACAAAAAUUUAACAUAUUUUAGAUGAUAAACUUGAACCCAAUAUAACUAUAAUAUGGAUUCAACUUGGACCCAACAUAAUAAGUUGAUUUAAUUUCAACCCAAUCAGACUUAAAAUGAACUUAAUCUCAGGUCCGGAUGUCACCAAAAACUAAAUAAACAAAGAAGGAAAAGAAGGAAGAAAUUGUAUACUUUAAUGGGAACAUUAAACAGUGGAUAUUUUACAAAAGUCUAUUCAAAGGCAUCACUUGAAAUAUAGAUAUGAAACCAUUAAUUAUUAAAAGUAUUAAAUGAUGAAUAUGGAUAAAAGAUAUAUAUUACAUUAUUGAGCAAGAUAUAGAAGUUAAGUUCCGGUCUGCAUUCUGAUAUCUGUAGACUUCGAUUGGAACUUAAAUUUUCGAAUGGGACUGGUCUUGGAUUGUACCUACCAAAUGAGACCUUGUGUCCAGAUUGGAUAAGGUUGUGUUUGAUUUCAGGUCAGGUCCAUAUGUGGGUCUUAGUGCUAUCACUACACAGGCAUCUUGUGCCUCAUCUCCUCACGACACAAGCAGCUUAUGCAUCAUCUCCUCAUUACACAGGCAGCUUGUGCCUUGUCUCCUCAAGUUUAUGCAUCUGCUGUUCUGCUAUUCUUGUCUAGUAUCCCUUGCUUCAAGAAAAAAUGACCUAAUAUUAUUUAUCUAGGAUGUAUUAUUGACUCAGAACUGUUAUUUCUGUCACCUUGUUUUAUAUUGUGUUUGGUUUAUGCUAACAGAUUGAUGCAUAAAGUUGCCUAAGAUUUUCAAGCUUAAUUGCUGUUCACUUACAUUUGAUUGAUCUUCAUGUUCAGAAAAUUGCAGAACAGGAUGGUGGAAGGUAUGAGAUGGCUGUCUAUGCUUCACAGUCUAGUAACUUGAGACGUUUGCUGCCUAUCUGUACUGACUGGGAGGUAGUAUUCUGUCAGUGUGCAAGGUUUUCAUGAUUUGUCAUUCGUAUUGCAUAUUGUCAAUAUUUAAUUGUUAGAUAUAUAUUUGCUCACUUAUUACUUUCUGGUCAUCGCUACAUGUAUCUCAUUUCAUAAGGGUGUUCACUAGAACUAGUAAUUAAACAGACAUUGGAUCCAUACUUAAUUUCCUGUUGGUGGUUUAGUCAGCUUGUUGGGCAAUGGCAAAAUCCUGGCUUGAUGUCCAAGUUGACUCUAUAUUAGCUCAGUUUCAACAAGCUAGACUGGAAGGCAAACAAUUUGGCGAAGAUAUAAAUGGGUCUUCCAUGCAAGGAUUAUCUUCUACAGCAAGUUCAGAAAACUGGCCUUGUCAUGUGCUUGAUCAGCAACCACGGGAUCUUCCAGCACUUCUUCAAAAACUUCAUUCAAGGUUUGAAAUGUGACAAUGCUCGUCAUUGCAUCCCGGCUUCUACCUAAUUUGUGUAAAUUUGUUACUACUGCAGUGAAGUUGUACAUGAAGCUGUCUCCAGAGCUUGUGAAGAACAGCAUCGACAAAUUGAGGUAAGGGAUUCAGAUUCAUUUACAUGAUAAAUCAACGAAAAAAAUUUGGCGUUUGCUUGUAAAAUAAUUAUAAAGGAUAUUUGAGUUUGUAUUUGAGUCCCUGUACCAGAAAUAUGAUGUAAAACAGCAAAGGAUCCAGCUUUUAUCUUGCUAACUUUCUGCAAGUAUGGUUGGUCUUAUGGUGCAAAAGAGGGUCCUUGUUACAUUUUUCAUUCUUAUUUUACUGUUGUUUGGAAAAAAACAUGUUCAAUUAUGCAUACUUAUGGUACUUUUACAAGGAUCUACUGUGAUCUCCAUGUAUAAUUAUGCAUAUCUAGUAAUGCAUACUUAAUUUGAUACCUUGAUUUCAAUUAUCCAUCCUUUUUGUAACUCAUAAUUUCCUGGUAUCAGAUGCUCUUGCCUUCUUAGCACUAAUGAAAGCAGCUGAUUACAUCAUCUGUUGCAAGGUGGUAAUUGUACCUUAUCCUUCUGAAUUGGUAUACUAGUGUACCAAUUGCAUCAGUCUAUUCCAGGAUGUUAAACGAUUUUUAGUUUCUUUUACUGGUGUUCUUUAGUGUUUUUGGUACCAGUAUCUUGAACCCCAAUAUAAAGGUAGUAGUAAGAAAAAGUACACAUGGAUAAGAGGUUCUUGGAGGAAAGGAAGACAGUGACAUCUUGCUUAUUAACAGUAUUAUGGUGAUGGUUCUCUGACCCUCUGGUGUUAUUGCACUAGAGAAAGCCAAAUGGCUGGAGGGAGUUGGUGUUAGCACUUAGCAGAACACAUUGUCGGAAAAUAAAUAAAACUCAUUGUUGUUGUUGUGUUAUUUUUUCAGUUUAUGCUCUGUCUCUCUAAAACAUAUGUCUGUAGAUGAAUCUCAUGCUGGGAGAUAUGGCACAUCUUCUAGAGCUACUUUGGGCAUGGAUAUCACCUUCAGAAGAUAAUCAGAAUAUCCUGAGGUAUCGACAUUUAUAAUUUUGAUGCUUCCAUAUUUUUUUUUUACUAUUUUAGAGACUUCAAUUGUGCUUUCUGGUAGAAUUCUAUUCUUAAAUGGAUAUUGUCCACUUAGGCCUCAUGGUGAUCCUGAAAUGUUACGCUUUGGAGCACAUGUGGUUCUUGUUCUUCGGAAUUUGCUUGAUGAUGACAUGAAGGAUGCUUUCAAGGAGAAGCUUACGACUGUUGGUGAUCUCAUACUUCACAUGUAAGCCAUGUUUAUACUUCUUUGUAUGAUAGUGCAGUUUUUAAGUGUCCUGCUAGAAUAUGGCUAUCUUUGGGGAUUUCAUCAGCUGAGGAGAUAAAUAAUUAAGUCUCCCAUAAUGAAUUCAGUAGUUAGGCAUAUUUUUGAGAGGCUUGGUCAGGUCAAGUCAUAAGCUGCUUUGGCACUGGGGUGUAACUUUAUAUUCAAAAGUUUAAUAUCAUUUUCAUCUCUACUUACCAACCUAAUUUCACCUAGGUUAAGACAACCUAAGUCUACCUAAUUUAAAUGGGUAGGUCAGCUACAUGUCAAAUUAAGAUAUACAACUCUCGUUUAAUAGUUAUCAUUAUUAUUAUAGGAAUCAUUACUAUUAGCCUCUGCUUUGGUCUGUGAUAGAGAACUGGGCUUGGUGGGCAGGGAGAGCCACGUGUUUGUGGAAUCUGACAUUGUUACGGAGAUUGCCUUUUUCUCAAUUUAUUUCUUCUGUUCAAACAUUACAUAACGCUCAUACAUGAUUACAGGACUUGAACCCUUGACCUCUUAAUUGCACACAUUAUGCCUUAACCAUCAGAAUAUCUUCUUGGAGAUGAUGAUAUUUUCUUCACAGAUAUCAGAAAUGGAGAGUAGUACUACCACAGCUGUAAUAGUAUUCUCUUUUGCUAUUGUGUGUGGAGUUAAAAUGCAUUAGAAAUGUUUUUGCUUGAUAUCUUGGCACCCGGGACCGGCUGAUCAUUGUAUGAUGCUGUUUCAAUAUUUAAAAGAUCAACCCGUAUGUGUGUCAUAAGACAUACAAAAUAGAGAGAGAGUGAGAUAGUUCAUUGAGGUUCACUUAAUCACUGUAUGACUCACUGCUUGAUUUAUUUAAAAUCUAGGCCUAUCUUCUUGUGUAAAGAUAUCUGAGAUAGCUAGAGGGUGGAGUAGUAUGGCAUCAACAGCAACAGCUUCAAAAGCUAGGCCUUAUCACUUCAAAGUAGCUUACUCAAGUCAAAACUGAUCACUGUACAAGAUCCUGCCUGAUCACUUUAAAAGGUCUGCUUGAUUGCACUUGGAGAGACAUUUGAAACAGAGGGUGGAGUACUACUGCCGGAGCAACAACUAUAAAACGAGACCUGAUAAUUAAGCAUCUUGAUAAUGAGGCACGCAGGUCCAGGAGCAUGAUCUUUAUGUUGUUACAUUACCAGGUAGUAUGCCUACUAGCAUGGUGAAUGGAAUUGUCUGGUCCAGAUUCGGUUGAUCAUUGUGUUAAAAUUGGUCAAUUUUGACUAAUAUGGUUGAAGUUGAAAGUAAAAUUGUUGGUUCAAGGAUCGUAUGACUGCAGUAUGAGGAUGAUGACUUCAGUUUAUGGUUGAGGGUUACUUAGGCAAGGCUUGAACAAGCGUGUAACUUGUAUGGUUACCAUGUGCGCUUUAGAUUAAAAGAAAAUUUAGGAAGACAAUUAUAGGGUUGUUCAUAUUUUAUGGAUUACAACGUUUGGACCAUUAUAUAGCAUAUGCAAAACAAAGUUGAGAUUACUAAGAAAAGAAUGUUGAGAAAACUGCAUGAGGUUACUACACAAAAAAGAAUUAAAAACAUUUACAUUUGUGAUUAUGAGCAAUUAGUUGUUACAACUUUCAAUAGUGUACAAAAUGAGGAUAUAUCAUUUAAGAUGAUACGGACAUCGACAUUUCCUAUUUUUGUUGACCUCAGUGCAUAGUUUUUUUAUCAAUGGACUAUACAUGGACAAUAUAGUAAACACAAAUGGUUGACAGUCCUAAAACUCUUGCAAUCAUCAAUUUGUGACAGGUAUGCAAUGUAUUUAUUUUCUAAGCAACAUGAGGAGUUGGUUGGAGUAUAUGCCUCUCAGCUUGCCCGUCACCUUUGUGUUGAUCUCUUUGUCGAAAUGAUGGAGCUCAGACUAAACAGCAGGUAAUGUUUAUCUUUCAUUACCUAAUAGUUCAAUAUUUGUGAUCAAGAUUGUCACUAUUGAAGUUAGCUAAAGAUUAUGCUUUGAUGUGUAGAGUUUGUGGAUAGAUCUCAUGAUCCUUUCUGUAAUAUAACACAUUCAUUUGUUGGAUAAUAAUGCCAGUGUUGCAGCAUGUUACCGAACCUGAAAUUUCUUGGUUGUAUAUAUGUUGUUUAUGUCCAUAUGUGAUGCCUUCUAAUUUGCUAUGUUACAUAUAUUUAAUAUGGGUUAUCAGUGUAAAGUAUGUUCUUUUUUUUUCCCAGAUAAUGAGGAUGAUGCUCUAUUAGGGUCAAAGGUGAGUGCUGAUUCUUGAGUCCUUAAAGUUGGAAAUGAAUGUGUUGUCCAUAAAAGAGGGCAGUCAAGUGCUCAAGGCUCUUGUGACUGCAGAGUUUAGGGAGAUUAUAUAUGUGACCUUGCAUGCCUGCAGAGUCUUUCUGCUGUUCAAAGUUUGGGCGACAAGUUGACAACAUUGCUUCACUAGGGCCUCAGCUUUUGUUGUCUGUUGAAAAUGUGAAAAUUGUUUUAAACUCCUGCAAAACAUUCUAAUAACAUGUCUGGACAGACUUGAAGAAAGAGGAUAAUGCAUUGGUUUAUAUAAAACACAUUUACAUUGCUGUACUCGAGGAUUAAAUUUUUGGCAGCCUAUGAAGCCAUGCCAGUGAUAUACUCAUGGUUUGCCUUACCGGUCUGUAUUGGUGAUUGACCGCUACGGUACAUACUGAGCUGUACCAAGUCAUACCGAGUAUACCAUCACAUGGUACAUGGUGGCAUAUCAAUGUACUGCCUGUAUCAGUCUCCUAUCGGAUUGGUACGUACUUUCCGUGCUGAGUAGUACAUCGUACUGACGAACCUUGGAUAUAACUACCUUUUUUGUCUAUAUUACAGCGAUAUAUGUAUGUUGGGUUGUGCCAUCUCUGUGACCCUUACAUAUUUCCUAAGUCCAUCAUUGAGGAUCUGAAUCUACCAUGCAAUAUAUUGAAUAUGUGCUUAUCUAGUAUGGACCUCAAGAAGUUUUGCAUUAUUCUUAAGGUCAUUUGUUAUCUUUUCUUGUCCUUUGUUUUCUAAGAUACAGUUGCUGACAAUUUUUCUGCUUUCGUGAUGGUAGUAUGCAUGUUAAAUACAAGCUCUUCCUUUUGGGUAUGGAGUAUCUACCUUUCUCUUCAGAAGAUGACUCUAAGGCAUGUUUUGAAGACAUCCUAGAAAGGUUAGUCUACCAAAAACACAUGUGUACAAAGAAGUUAUUUUCUGUUAGAGAAACAAGCAUAGCAACAAAAUUUUUCAUGCACAAAUAACCUAGCAGGGUGCUCUUGAGAUCACGGGAAACGAAACCUAGCAAGCCUGUUGGAAAAUUGUCUGAUGUUGCGGAAGAGCAUCGUUUGCAAUCUCUUCAGAAAGCUAUGGUUAUUCAGUGGCUCUGUUUCACACCACCUUCUACUAUAAGGGAUGUUGAGGUUAUCAGUGCAAAGCUUCUUAUGAGGGCAUUGAUGCAUAGGUAAUUUAUUUAUGAUAAUUAACUGCUCGCUUAUGUUUUAUUUUGUGCAAUAUAACGGAUGACAUGCUUCUUGAAAUAACAUGUCUGAUUUUGACUUUGAUUUCUUCUGCUUCAGCAACACACUAUUCAGGGAGUUUGCUCUGAUAUCUAUGUGGAGAGUUCCUAAAAUGCCAAUUGGAGCUCAUAUGUUGCUCAGUUUCUUGGCGGAACCAUUAAAACAGCCUAAUUUUGAUGAAGACGACGCCAGUGAGGAUCUGCAUGAGUUUGAAGACUGGGUAUGCUUGUUUUUCUCUUUUCUUCUUCAAAUUACCUUGACAGUGUUUAGUGCAACAAUGGGAUGCCAAUAAGAUUCAGUUUUACUUCAUUUGCUUUUGUUGUUUCAUGAUGAUCAGCGUGAGUAUUACGCAUGCGAUGCAACAUAUCGGAAUUGGCUCAAGUUUGAGCUUGAGAAUGCAGCUAUUGCACCUGCUGAACUUUCUUCAGAAGAAAAGGAUAGAGCUGCUGCCACAGCUUUAGAAACACUAGAUUCUUCUCUGUCACUAUUGCUGAGUAAGUUCAAUUUUAAAGUUGAGUAUGCUGGCUGGGUAUUUGUACGUUUGUUUCUCUUCAUGAAAUGGAUAGCUGCCUUUCGUCUUUACCUUAGUGUAAACCUGUUGUCGUCAUUAUUUCCAGUUCUAUUUUCUGUAAUCUAAUUGAAAGUUUUGAAGUACUUUGUACAAGUCCACAAACUGGAAACUUUCCUAUGGAAAAAAAAAGAAAACUUGUGGAAUACGGAUCCUAUUUAGUUCUGAUUUUUUUCUUCAAGCCUACCUUGCAUAUCUUUAAUGUGGCUAAUAAGGACACUAAGAUGAUAAGAUCUUCUCUGGGUAGAAAUGAUUCUGCCCGGGUAGGCUGUUGUUUGGUGAGCUAGUCUUUGUUUCUAAUGCAAGGAUCAGGGUGGGGUAAGAGUAAUCAACUUAAUUUUGUCCAGUUCAGCAAAUGAUGGUGGCUUUUGGAAUUUUUCUUAUGUUCAAUCUGGCUAGACCUUUUGAGUCAUGAAUAUUCUUAAAGGAUUCUUUGUGUAAUUCAAGAAAGAUGGAACAAGUUUGCCAUAGUUUGCGGAGGAAUUCUAACAUUUAAACAGGGAUUGAGCAUAUAAUUAUUAUUCCAGAUGAAAUUAUCAUAUUCUAAAUGUUUAAAAAUGAUGACCGAACUAUAUAGUUAUCAUAUUCUUGCACAAAUAUAGGCAAAUUAACCACAUGAACAAGCUGGUUAUUUACCCAAGCCAGCUUGACAUUAUCAGGGGUCUUUUUAAUCUCAAUCUCAAACUGCUGCCAGAGCUUUGGUCUUUUAUUAUACUAACAAGUUUGAGUGACCCAACAAGAUUGAUUUGUAUGCAUGUCUUUGACUACCAACUUUGUAGCAUGGGCAACUAACAUAGGGUGACAACUCAUUUAAGAGAUCUUUCAGAUUAAAUUUUAAUUGUGACCAACUGCAAGUCAAUAAUGAGGUUAUAAUAAUGAGUUGAUUACAGAAUUUUGACUAGGAUACCAGGACUUUGGGUAGUAUCACGCAAGGGCCUAUGCUGGUUCACUAAGAGUUAUUAAGGGUUACCAUAAUGUCACUCUGUUCUCUAUUAUGGCUUCUGUUAACCCUAGAGAAGCUAUGAGUUAUUAUCUCCUUCCUUUUCUUCUCCUAUCAUCUCUGCUUCGUGCGAUGACUCAAGUGGCAUGACAAAUGUGAUGGUGAUAGCAAAGAAAAUGACCACCAGUAGCUCUGCAUCACUGUCAGUUCUUUUUCACUCCCAUCCUAUGGUUAUGGCUUAUGACAGUCCCAGCUCCUUUCACUCUACUUCGUGGUUGACAGAUCAACUCGAAUUUGGUAACAUGAACCAGUUCCAUCAUGUUCAGCUGAUUUCAACUAAUUCUUACUGACAGAAAGGUGAAAAAUAUGCUGAAAUCUGAUUGACCUUGCCAAUACUGGUACAGAUUGGUCUUCAUAUUGAAAUAUGCUGAGAAAGUUGAACCGUGGUAGUCUCCCCUUCUCCAAACUACCUAGAGACUUCUUCACUUGCUUCCCCUCAGUGUCGACUUUUCAGACAUUUGUGGAGAAGGUAGCCAUGAGCCUCAGUGAAAACAUCAAAGGGCAUCAUGAUAUCUGAGAACCUGAAUGUUAAGCUUUUAGUCAAGUUCAUAAAAGCUCAGUCUUCUAAAACCUGUUAAUUUACAGCCUGGUUCUAUUUAAACUGAUACCUGCUUUCCUUGGAUCAUUUUCUUGAUGGCAGAAGUUGCUACCAAAAUGGUAAGAACUUCUAUAACUUGAUUUUAAUGUUCAGAUGUCAGUGGCUUAAAGAAGAGAAAUUUGUAACUUGCCAAGUUUAAGAAUUAGAUCCAAACAGAAAAUGGACAUGUUUGGUCCUAAGAUGAUUCUGUGAUAUGAGGAGCUGUUACAGCAGAAAUGGUAGUAGAUCUGCAGUCAAAUGAGAAUGAAGAAGGAAGUAAGAAUGCGAAGUACAGGAAGAAAACUUCACAUGCUUUGCAGUCUCAUAAUGUUCUAUUGGAAAGUUAAGAGUAGGGAAACAUUCUAUUGGAGGUCAAACUCAUACUAGAAAAAUAAUUGGCAUCUGUUCCAAGUAGUUCUUAUGUGGUAUUGAACUUUCUCAAACAUUAAUGACAUUAUUAUAUGUCUGGCAUCAACUGGCCUUUUUUGCCAAAUUAUUUUCACUAAUGUAUCAAUUUCUAUUUAUUAAGCUAAUUAUUUCAUGCUGUUCUCUAACCUAUUCAUAUAUGUGAUGCAAAUCUGACUUGAACUUUUGCUUUACUCCUGAUUUAGGAGAAGGAAACCCAUGGCUGAAUGUUGCUCAUGAUAGAACAUAUGAUCCAACAGAGGAUAUGUAUAUUGAAUUGCAUGCAACUGCAAUGCUCUGUCUGCCUUCUGGUGAGUGCAUGCUCCCAGAUGCGACCUCUUGUACUACAUUGACCAGUGCACUUUACUCCUCCGUCAGUGAAGAUGACGUGUUAAAACGCCAAUUGAGGGUAUGUUUACAUUUCUAUUUUCUUGUUCCUUGGGGCAUUUGCCUUUACAAGAAUGCACUUCCUUCUGACAGCUUUUGCAAUGCCACUUGAGAUUUUUUAUAAUAAUUCAACUCCCUAUUGAUUUUUUUGGUGGAGUCAGUUUGUUUGCUGAUUACUAUUUUAUUUCCUCAAAGAAUAUUCAGGUGUUUGCCAGUUUUAGAUAUAACUUGUAAGGAUUUAAUGCCAUCUUAAUGGAGAAUUUAAUGUUACUAGGAUUCUUUUUAUGAUACAUUUUCUGACAAGAAGCCAAAAGAUACUCAACCUUGAGUUGAGCUUAGCAGUUCCUACCAGAUUAAUACAACUUUUGUACAUAUUCUGCUCAAUUCUUCAGUAAUAAGGAAAUCUAUUUAUGUUUAAUGGCAUAUUUCCUAAUGCUUGGAUUUCUAGGUCUCGAAUUUGGUUCAAUUAUUGAUCUUUGCAUGAUCAUUAACUUGCUGCUUCUUUUGUUGCACAAAUGCUAUGGGCUGCAUGACCUUUUACAUGAGCUAUUCAGAAAUAAAUUUUUUUCGUGGUUGCUCAGUUUUGUGACAUUCGAGUCUUCAGGUCAAUGUUGCGGUUUCCUCAAGUGACAACUAUCGCAUUGAAGUCGCACUUCACUGCUUGGCAGUGAAUGGUGAUGGGCUUGGACUUCAUGAAGCUAAUGAUGGAGGUCUUCUUGCUACUGUCAUAGCUGCAGGUUUUAAAGGUAUUGGAUUACAAGCUUUUUAAGUAGUUCUUAUUUCGUGUGAGAUUGAUGUUGAUCCUUUAUAAAAGGUGAGCUUAAUCGGAUUACAAGCUUUUAAAGUAGUUCUUAUUUCAUGUGAGAUUGAUGUUAAUCCUUUAUAACAGGUGAGCUUAAUCGGUUUCAACCUGGAGUUACAAUGGAAAUAUCCCGGCUUGAUGCUUGGUACUCAUCCGAGGAUGGUUCCUUCAGAAGCCCUGCUAAUUACAUAGUGAAGGGGCUUUGCCGAAGAUGUUGCCUGCCAGAGCUCAUUCUCCGAUGUAUGCAGGUUAGUUUAGAAUAUUCACCUCGUCCCUCUCUUUUUGUUUUUGCAGCCUUUUUGUUACUAAAAGAGAUUCCUUGAGUGGGUGGCUUAUUUUGGUACCAUCUUUCUUGUUCCAUAGGUGUCAGUUUCUCUUGCUGAAACACGUGAUUUAAAAGAUCACCAUAAUGAAUUAAUUGAAUUAGUUGCCUCCUCCGAGUAUGGGAUUCUGCAUUUGUUUAGUCAACACCAAUUACAGGUAUUCUUUCAACUUUUUUCACUGAUGUGCAAAUACCAUUGCUGUGGCUGCACCCUUUAAAUUGUUUAAAGUCUUCUCCAACUGUGUUUGUCAUCUUCAUUAUGGAUAACAAAAAUAAAAAAAAUAACUAGAUUGAAAUGAAUGUGUUUUCAGGAAUUUUUAUUGUUUGAAAGGGAAUUUUCACUAUACGGAAUGGAGGUUGAAGAAGAGUCUGUCGUUGACACCUGAUAGGUAGCCCCAUGGUCCUCGUACGUAAUGCUCGAUUUCCUUAGGCACAUUAGUAUCUUGUUGCUUUUGUAUGUCAUCUAUUACAUUUAAUUGGUUUCUUGUCUGUACAUGGGAAUCAUGGGAAUUUCCCGAAUGAUAAAUUAGAUACUUUGAUUAUGCCACAUGUGAGCUGGUAAAUUUGAGCCUGGAGAAUAUCUACUAAUAUUCUUUGCUGGAAAUGGAUUAAUCAUUACUCGUGCAUGGCACUGGAAGCUUUUUUUUGGACAAUGUGCUGUAUGUUGUGAUUGUUAGAAAUUGUGCAUAUUCAUCUUGAGCUAUUACUUGCAUUUCGAUUUUGUCAGUGGCAAGUAAUCAAUUAUAAAAUAUGUCCAUUCCAACAAGUUAAAAGGGGUAAAGCCAGCACAAAGAUCACCCUAGUGUUACAUCACAUGGAGAGCACUUAUAAAAGCUUUGGAUAAAAAGUGCAGUGGAUUCAUAUAUGAAAUAAACAAGGCAUAUAUAUAUAUAUAUUUAUAUUUAUAUAUGAUUUAAAGUUUGUAGCUUCCCUCCGACGGGAUAAGAAUAAAGAAGUGAAAGUUUUGGAUUAAAUGGGUCGUCAAAGUAUGAAACAGUGGUAUUCUUGUUUUUGGAUUAUUUCUGUUGAUUUUGGGGUUUUUCUUGAGAAGGAUUUUACUGGAUCUAAGAGCUGCUUUCCCAAGUUUCUUCGGCUUUAGAUUUGUUUCCCGAGUAGAACGAUGUGAGGAGCCAAAAAGAAAACAAAGAUGGGUUUGAAGUGGGUUUUCGAGCGAUCAGGAAGUUGGGUCAUUUAAAUCCCAAAGAAUUUAUAUACUAAAUAUGCACAAAAAAGGAUCACAAUUUUCUCACGUGAUUUCCACGUGCUCAGAAUCCAGUACUAAAUAUCCACAGAGCAGCAAAGGAUAAGGGAAGGACGCGACUCAUCAAGCCUCCCUCCCUCCUCGCUUCGAUUACUGCUCGCCUUUCUCCCUCUCCGUUCUCCUAUUAGAAAUGGCGGCCGUGAACGCGGUCUUCGCCUCCCCUUCUUGUUCCUCCCCUCUCUCCUUCCCCCGCUCGUCCUCUUCCUACCGCAGAUCAAUCUUCGCCUCCCACAGACCGCAUCGUUCCGGCCGUCAGUCGCUCAGCAAUGACCAUUCCAAUCGGCGGAAAAACGACGUGGUAGACUUCACAAUUGAAAAUUAUUAGACCUUUAUGCCCAUUCUGUUUUUUGUGCGUCUCGUGGAUUAGUGUGCUAGUAAAAUUAUCCGAUCUUUGCUUGGAUGUCUCUUGGUGGGUUUCCAGGUGGAAGGGGUUUCCCAGAAGAGGUUUCCGGGAAGAGGGAAGGACGAUAGGACGUACCUUCCAUCGGACGGUAGUCGGGGAGAUGCUGGGCUGUCGCAGUCGCAGUCGCAGUCGCAGUCGCAGUCGCAGUCGACGGUGUUCAAGUCUAUUGGAACACAGAAGGACAAGGGCAUGGUUUAUGAUCUCAAGGAGCAGCAGGCAUGGCAAAUUUGAUUCUCUUUGUUCCUUUUGCAACGCAAGUUGAAUUACCUACAUCGUACAUUGCCGCUACGGGUUUGCGGAUUUUACUGCUUUCUCGAAUCAUAGCAUCACAUUGUUUAAGACUGCCAAUAACGUUUUACUUAGCAUACUGAUUAUGGUCAGUGAUGGAGAAUAGUAUUUCUCGAUUGUGCUUCAGGCCGAUGAAACAGGAAAAUUUCAAGAUUCAGCUUUUCUUAAUGCUGUUGUGAAGGUAAUUCUUACUUUUGAUUUUUCUUGUAGUGAUCAAAGUGGUGGUCUGAAAAUGAAGCAUGGUUUUUUUUUACUUUGACACUUUUCACAAGAGUAGGUUGUACAAAAAUAUCUGUGAGAUGUUUAGAGAAAUGUAUCUGCUUCUUGAAGUUCAUAAAACUUCCUCUCAAGUCUUUGGACUCUUUUGUUACCACACUUGUCCGAAGGUCAAAUUGGUAUCUGGACAACUUACACUCCAUGACUGUUGAUAGGUAGGACAGUGUCAACCAUCAUAACUGCUUAGUAUCCUUCCCAAGCAGCUUCCCUUCCAAAAUUAAUUGUGAUACAUUAUCUUUAGGUGUAUCAAUCCAUCACUUCAUUGUGGACAGUGAUGUAUAAAGUAUAGACUUCCACACUCAUCCCAACAGAAAAGCUUUGGUGGAGAUUGCAAUAGGCAUUCUUGAGUUUUUAAGUCAACCUUUAAAACUUUGAUUUCUCAGACCACUUUCAGCUGCAGUUAAAAAUAUACUUCUUAUGAUUUAUAGUUUGCUUUACAUUACAACAAAUGUGUUGAAGAGCCAUAUUAAGUGUUCCCAUUCAGAAGAGCAAAAUUCAUUACAUUGGUUUAGGUAAGAAGUGAUGGAUCGAAGAUUUAUAUUAUAUCUUCCCAUUCUUGUUAUUUAGAUGUCAUUAUUAAUUGCUGAACAGAAGAUCCAUGGUUAUGAAGAGCUAAGAAAUGUGAAUGCUGCUGAAUAAACUAUAAAUGCCUCUGUCUGAUUCAACAGUUGACUUCUCUCACAUAUAUUUUACCUUCUGAAGCAUCUUAAAAAUCUAUCAGACUGGUAGAUGUGGGAUCCAGACCUUUUGAAUAACUCUAUACCUUUAGUUUGAGAUGACUUUUCUGUACGGUGAUCAUCACAAUGGGUACAUUGGCCCUUUUUGUGAAUUACCCUUCUCUACUUUGUAUCCAAUCUACACUGUUGCCUAUCAACUGGGUCAGGUCACUGCAGUUUCUGUGGUCCUCUUUGGAUUAUAGGUUACAAUCUUGUCUUGGACCAGAGAUAUUUGCUUCAGGACAUUUACAUAAGGAGUCACUGCUAAGUAUAGUGUCUGAUGAUGCACUAAAGGGUUAUUUUAAUUAAAAUACAUAAUAUUUGAACCACUAGGGGUCUUGACGAGUGCCUGGCUCUUUUUCUCCUUCUCGAGAUAAGAAAAUGAUAUUUAAAAUUGGCUAGCUUUUAUCCAGUAGUGUCAUUCUGUUAUAUUGUCAUAUUCAUGUCCGUCAUGAAGUUUCAUUUAUACUUACUACUUUAUUUGAUUCAGGUUUACUGCACACAUACCUCACCUGAUUAUUCACUUCCUUGGCAGAAACAAAGGCAAUUUACAAGUACUGGAAGGCAUGUUUCCACUUUCACCAUUGUAACUUGUAGCUUAUUUCUCAAAUCAUCUGACUAACAAAACAAACUGACUGAUUAUUCACCUGAUUGUUAAAAGUGUUUUUCAUUGCACACUUGUUUCUUCCCCCUCCCACAAUUUGUAGGUAAACAAUGCUAGGUUGACAACACCAAUUACAGUCUUUCCUCAUUACAUUUCAGUAUUCAUUAAUCUUUAUCACAAUAUCAGCAGAUUGUAGAAGAAUAGUUUCACUAUAUUUCGUGAAGAAUUGGAUUCUUAUGUCCUUUAGUUGCAGGCUUCGUGCUUAUUCUAUUUCUGAAGGAAAUUUAAUCUACGUUCACCUAUAAGUGUUUAAUGGUGAUAUACUCAUGUGAAUUCUAGAGAGCCUUAUUUUUAUUUGACCAAGGAAAGAUUAUUUGCUUCCUUUUUUCCGAUCGCUUUAGGUCAAAAUGUAGAGGAUUUAUUUCUUAGUAGGAUUUCAAAUUGUUCAAAUGGAUGAUAAUAUGAAAUUUUAUAGAUGGAAAAGGUGAAAUGAAUUUGAUAAUUUAUUUACUUUUCUACUCGUUUCCCCUCUUUCUUGAGUUUCUAUUGAUCAGUUUCUAAUGAAGCUUGGUAAAAAAACAUGUCUAUUUUCCUAAUCAGCAAAUAAAUGCUAAACCUUAACCUUUUAUUAAUUCUUGAUUAGACUUUCUCAUCUUGGUCUGCAUAUAUUUAUUUGAAGUCAAGGAACUCAUAGCUUAUGAAUUCUUAGUUUUUGCAGUGCUUUGAAAAUGAUGGUGGGAAAGAAUUUAUAGCUAAUUAUAUCCAUGUUUUACAGUGCUUUCAUGAUUGGUGAUGGUAAGCUUCUGACAAAUGCUCAUUGUGUCGAGCAUGGAACUCAGGUUAAUCAAUGUGUUCAAUUCUCGAAAUUCAAGUUCAAUUUGAUUGAUGCUCCUAUAAUAGAUUUUUCAGAAAGUAAGUGGAUAUCCUUGUUUGCCAGCAAAGGCUUGUUGCUAAUGCUGUUAUUAUUGUUGUCACUUUUAUUGUUCUUGAUGUUAGAUAUUCUAUUACUUUAGUUUGUCAUGUAUUCUCUUGAAGCCAGUUGUUGGUUUGGUAUUAGCAAAAGAAUUGUACUUGCAUAAGGUAUGAAUUAAUGUGGUCAUUUCUUGGCAUGUACUUUGUGAGUUGCCCUGAGAUCAUGCAUGAGUGCACUGUCAUAUCGAAGUCCUUAGUUUUCAAACUACUAUAGAUUCCACUAAAAUGACAUUGUGGAAGCUUGUUUCAACAUUAUCAAAUCAGUGUAAUGACUCAAGCUUCUUGCAGAUCAUGCUCUUCUUUAGUUAUUCCAUGAAAGUGAAAUUCCCACUUUUCAUCAAUAUCAUACACUAUAUUGUUUUGAAAAUUUGAAUAUGCUUAUGGAAGCUAAACAAACCAUUUGAUGUCUGUAGUUCUCUUGAAAUUACAGAAAAGAAAGGAAGUUGAUCAUUAGGUUGCCUGGAACAGUAUGUCAACCAUAAAUCUUCUUCAAAGGGCUUUAAUCUUGCUAGGUUUUAGUUUAAUCAUUGAAGACACGAGCUGUGAAAGGUUUCUGCAUUGCUUGAUGGUUCAUAAUUAAACGGAUACUCACGUGAUUCAAAACCAAACCAACCACUCUACCCCAUGAUUUCUUUGUUGUAGUUGGUUUUAGGUUUAAUGUGACUGAGGUCAUUUCCUUUAACCAACAGUGCAUCUUUAUCACAAUACAUAAUUACUUUCAGACUCAUGUUUUCUGCAUGUUCCUUUUUAAUGCAUUUUCAUAAGGAUAUCAUGUUUUAUAGAAGUUGACGUUCUUGUUGUAUCUUUCCCAGUCUCAUCUAUUUUUUUGCAGUUGUAAACUAACAAUUUUGAUAACAACAGGUUAAAGUGAAGAGAAGGGGAGAUGACACUAAGUUUGUAGCUAAGGUACCUUUUCUUGUACCUAGAACCUUCUGAGAUGGCAUCAGACAUGCACUACAUGAGCUAGUCAUGUUCUUAAAAUCAGUGUGGUUCGUGGCAUGAUUUGCACAUAUAAUGGCCUGUUUUGUUCUUAAUCAUUGGCCUGGUUGUACAUUCAUCCAUAUGCAAAUCAUAAUAAAGAAUUUAGGUUUGAGGUCCAUGAUUGGGCCAACCACGGUUAGUAUGUUACUUUACAUUCUGUGCUGUGCUCAUACAGGCAUGUACAGAAGUCUUGUGCCAAGGCAUGUCAUAUUUGUAUGCUGGUGCAAGCCAUGAGUUGGAUGCCAUAUACAUUGGCAUGAAUAGCGGCACAAAGCAUGGAAGGUGACUAUUAUAUCAGCACCUUAGUAGUAUAGUUGAUGUUGUGGUACAGCUGGCACUCCAAUUGUGAUCAUGAUCUCUUAAUGAUUGUAUAUUUCACGAAGCUCACCUCGUUGUUGCCUGUUACAUUAUCAAAUAAAGCUUCCUUCUUAGUAGAUGUUUUUGUAAAUAAGUGUGUAUUUGGUAAUUGUGACAUAACUGGCUACUCCGUAUGCAGAUUUUCCUUCUAAAAUAGUUAAAGAGUUCUUAAGGUUUUCUGAACCUUUUUCCCUAGAUCUUGGCUAACGGAACUCCUCAGUGACCUGAUUUACAGGUCUUAGCUAGAGGUAUAGAAUGUGACAUAGCAUUACUCUCAGUUGAUAGUGAAGAUUUCUGGAAAGGUGCUGAACCACUUCGUUUUGGUCAUUUGCCAUGCCUUCAGGUACUUGAUUAUUUAAAUAUUUCUGCAACACCUUAUCAUAUACAUGCUACAAACAAGUUCUAUUAUGAAUUUUGAGGGCAUUACAUGUAGCAUCUUCCUAAGUUCUAUAUGUGAUGACGUGUUUCUUCUUAAGGCAUUGGUUGAAGUAGGCAUGCUCCUUUUAUAAAUUGUUGUAGAACUCUUCUAAUGAUAUAAGGUAACAAAUGCUGUCAUUUCUCUGUCUCCAAAUUUAUAUACAUAGAUGACAUGAAAAUUUUAAGAUGAUUGUUUUUGUAAACCAAUGGAUAUUCUCAUCUUAAAUUAAUUAUUGGAUGUAUUUAAAAGUACAUAAUUAACUAUUCCUUCUCACCACAUAUGAACUUAAUUGUCUAGUCAUUAAAAAAUGAUUUUCUAGUGGGAUUCAAAGAUAUUAGCUAGGGUUUAAUCUAAAAUGAACUAAGUUAAUACAAUUUUAUAUCCCAACUCGAAUCGCUGGACAAAUCUUUGUUCUUAAGACAUGAAAUCCAGUCAAAGAAGUUUUCUUAUAACUUUGUGUCUUGUUAUGCUAAUUUCUGUUGUCUAAUCAUUAUGCUUUGUUUCAAAAGUAAAUAUUUGAUUCUAAUAUACUCUGCCCUAUGAUAUUCCUUCGUUUGGUUGUUCUUGAUUCUAUCAACAUAACAAUUUGUAAUUUCAGGAUUCAGUCACUGUCGUAGGAUAUCCACUUGGUGGAGAUACGAUCUCUGUGACAAAGGGUGUCGUAUCACGAAUUGAGGUUUGAUUUAUUCAUUUCGUUAUGUUGCUGAUAUUGUAUCUCAUUAUUCAUUUUAUUAGUCAGUCCCGUAAUGCAUGUUUGUUUGACUCAUAAUUUUAUCUAAGUUAAGUAGUCUAAUAUUAGGUGCCAAAGAAAUUGUUGUUACCUUAAUAUUCAUUAAAGUAGAUUAAAUUUAUUUUUUGAGAAAUCAGCAACAAGAUAGAUGAAUGUUCUGCUCACUUUUAUAGUGGUAUCAUUUGGUGGUGUCAUACUAUUGGAUUUUCACGACUAAGAAUAUUAACUUAAUUGCUGCUGCAUUUUAAAUCAUCUUUUGAGUACUUGAGUUGCAAAUUUAUCCUUUGAUGAGGCGGCUUUGACAUGUAUCCGUUUGAAAAUUUGGUAUCGUGGUACAUUUCCAUUUUUGACGGUCCCAAUAAUGUGUUACAUAAUUACAUUUAUGCAUAUUACUAGGGUUUCAAAUUGAGGUUCGUAAUUUCGUAUCGUACCGAUGUUUCGAGCUUUGCUCAGUACAGUAUGGUACGGGCGUACGAGUAGUAUGCUAGGGUGUAUCACUCGAUAUAUAUAUAUAAUAUAAUAUAAUAUAAUAUAAUAUAAAAAAUAUAAAAAGGAAGUGCACGUUGCCUUGGUGACGUCGCCACCUUUUCUUCUCCUCAUCGUGUUAGAGGAGGAGAAGAACGCGAUCUUCUCCUCAUCUGUGAUGUUAGGCAAAAACGUCGAAGGCUGUAGACGUCUCCGGCCUUCGGCGAAGAACGUAGCGAAGGCUGAAGGCAUCUCCGGCCUUUGUCAAAGAACACGGUGAAGGCUGCAGGUGUCUUUGGCCUUAGGCGAAGAACGCGACGAAGAAGCCGAGCUGUCGCCUCUCCAUUACCUCCUCGAUUAGGAUCGUCGAGGGAGGGCGACAUCGGAUCAGAAAGCAUCGAGGUUCUCCCGAUUCUCCCUCUUCUUUUCCCUCUUCUUCGAGCGCCUUCUCCCUCUUCUCUCUCGACACUUCUUCUUCCCUUGCCGCAGCUAGGCUGAUACCAUCCGGUAUGAGCGGUAUCAUUUGAAAUUAAAAUCCUUGUUUCAAAUAACGAUUAGACUGAUACCUAUGAUUGGUAUUUACUGAUUUGACCAAGUUCCUGAACUUAACCAUAUAGGCCUAGUUGGCAUUUAAAUUUUUAUUUUUUUCCUAAUGAGACUAGGUGAUACUGGUUGAUAUACCUCUGUUAGUCUGACCAGUUGCCAAAAAUAGUUUUGUAAACCCUUGAGGAUUAUUAUUUAAUUUAGGCCAUGAGAUUAAAAUAUUCAGAAGAUGCCCUAUCCAAAAGAAAAGAAACAAUAUUUGCCAAGUUUUUUUCCUUUCAUUACCUUCUUCUGUAUCUUCCUGUUAAAAUGUUCUAUUUGCCUAUCAAAUUUACUUCUUUGUUUUUUCCCUAGGAUUUGUUCUUGGUUCUUGUUUUGUUAUACGGUAGCCAGUAGAUUUGUAGACCAAUGCUAGAUAAUACAAGAUUAGCUGCUGAGGAUUGUCUUUGUUUAUUUGUGCAGGAGGAUCUGUCAGCUUAGUUUCACCCUUCGAAGAUUAAAUAAGAUAACCACCUCUAUUUUAAGACCUCAAGUGAUUGGGAUGAACAUAUGAUUAUCCAUAUGAAUGGAUUUAAUUUUUGGAAUUUGGCCAUUGAUUCUAGUUAUCAAAUUUGGUGUACCUAGGGGAAGAAUUAUAAUUUGAAGCACAGUCCAGUUCAUGAUUAGGUUAUCACUGUCUAUGUUGAUUAGUAUUCACAAUGAGACAUGCUGGUAUUUUGGUUGUCUUGAGGCUCGAUAUGCUCUAUCAGAAAAUAAAAGAAGUAAUCAACUAGGUCAAAUAUAAUAUGUGAAAAUAAUCAAUGACUAAUUCAACAUGGUUGAUGAACUCCAGUGUGUCAUCUCCAGUAGAUGAAGUCACUGGUCCUUUUGUCUCACACUGGUGAAGUUUUUGGCAUUUGACUCAGAGGAAAUAAGGUCUUAGGGCAGCUUAACUUUCAGUAGACAUAAAUCAUAUCGGACAAGCAUCCAAAUGAACUUUAUUGAGUAUAAUGCACUUGGCCUGUUUAUUUUCUUCCAGAUCUUCACCUGAUUCAGUUGAUAAAUGAAUAGACAAAACUUGAUUUGACCUAUUUUAAAAGUAAAAUUAAGUGAUAUAUAAGUAUAUAACUGGUUCGGCUUGAAGUGGGGUUAUAUUGUCCAUGAGACCAUCCAUCUUGUUUUGCUUCCAGCAUCCUGUCUGAAUCACUUGAUAUAGGGAUGUACCUUUAUACUUGGAAGCAAGGUAGGCAAUACCGAAUGAUACUGCCCGGUACGGGCGGUACAUACCAGUCCGACGGCAUACCGGUACUCGGACCGCCUGCCACCGGACGGAACGAAAAAUAAAAUAAAAUAAUAUAUAUAUAUAUAUAUAUUUAUAUUUAUAUAAAAAUAUUUUUAAAAAAGCGACGUUAGAUGACGUCGCCUUUUAAAUAAUAUAUAUAUAUAUAUAUAUAUAUAUAAUCUUAUAUAUAUAUAUAUAUAUAUUAAUUUAUAUAUAUAUAUAAACGAGGUGACGUCGCCUCGCCUGCAAGAAGAGAGAGGCCACGUCGGUCGUCGAGUUAUAUAUAUAUAUAUAUAUAUAUAUAUAUAUAUAUAUAUAUAUAUAUAUAUAUAUAUAUAUAUAUCUAUAUAUAUAUAUAUACCGAACGGUAUACUGCUCGGUAUAUAGUUUCGUACCGUACCGAGCAAACGUCGAAACUCUGGUAUGGUACGAAAUUGCAGACCUUGCUUGGAAGUUUGGCUCAUUGCAUAAGUCUCGUCACCUUGGAGUCAAAUUGUGCCAUUACAACAAACAAGAGUGUCGCUAAUACUUUACAGAAUUUAAAGUUUUUCAGGGACAAGCAAUUGCAUGAAUCUAAAAAUAACUUUUUGAAAAAUAGUUAUUUCAUUUUGUAAAAUAUAAUAAAAAUUUAUUGAUUUUAUGUUGAAUAAUGCUAAAAGCUUUGUAAAAUUUGAUGCAAAUGAAGGUGAUAUGAUAUCCAAAAGCUAUAUGCUUUUAAUUUUUUUUAGACAUUUAAUGUGAACUCUUCCAUCAUUGAGGUUGACCAUGACUUCAUCUGUCUGAAUGCAACUUUUUCUUAAACAUACAUAAUGGUGAUUUUUUAAAAUGUUAUUUGGCUCCCUGAUGACCAAUAAGGAUAGUCCCUCCAAUCGGAGGAUGGUGCCCAAACACAUAAGCGAGCCUAAUGGUUGAUUUAAGAUGAAAGCAAAGAACAUUCGGUCAUUCUUUAUCUGUGUUCUGAAAAAUGAAAUGGAUUAGUGUUUUAUCUUUGUUUUUCUUAGGGCCAGUACUGGACAUAAAGGCACUGUGUGAAAACUUUGUUUCAUAUUAUGUCAUGAUUUUCUAAUGUCCUGAAUCCAUAUUGUUAUCAUAGUUUGUAGUGUCUGAUAAUAUUAUCAUACUAAUAGAGAGGAAUUUUUGCAUGUUAAUGUUAUUCUGGAUAAAAGAAAAUUAAUAACAAUGUUGGCUUUAAAUCUUAACAGUGUAUUAUGAGCAUCUUAUCAAAUCAGAAAUUCUUGGUAAGAUCCAUUAUUGUUUUUUUUCUAUGUAUAUCUCAGGUUACUUCAUAUGCUCAUGGAUCAUCUGAUCUGCUUGGUAUUCAAAUUGAUGCUGCAAUAAAUCCUGGUUGGUAACUUAAAAGUGUAAUUUUUGCACUAGGAAGACUGUAUUUAAAUUCUUCUGUAAUUGGCUUUUAUCAUAGCUCUUCUUUAGACAAGGGGAAUCUGUUUUCUUCCUUGCUGUUGUCUAAAAGCAUAUAUUUUCUUCUGCAGGAAACAGUGGUGGUCCUGCCUUUAAUGACCAUGGAGAAUGUAUCGGAGUGGCAUUUCAGGUGCUCUUCUGCUAAAUCUUAUAUUUUAUCUUUUCUACUUUGUUCACUUCAGUUUUACUUCUUCCUUCAACCCUUCUAUAAUCAAUUUUGACUUCAAAAUAUAAUUUUCUCUACAUGGAACUAAAUUUGUAUGUUGCUCUUUCACCUUUCAUGUCAUCAUAUCUUCUUGCAUUUCUUACUAUUUACUUCAUUUAGGUUUUCAGAUCAGAAGAAGCUGAAAAUAUUGGAUAUGUUAUUCCCACAACAGUCGUUUCUCAUUUUCUGAAUGAUUAUGAGAGAAGCGGGAAGUAUACUGGUAAGAUAACACACGACUGCUAGAUAUCAUUUGUGAGACAGUGAUGUAUUGCCUUCAUGAUCAAAAGUUUUGUAUAGAUGUUGCAGUUUAAACUUCUCAGGUAUUACUUGUGAGAACUCUUAUCUGAAUAAUGCCUUCUCUUUUUGGCAUAGUUGCCCUUGCCAAUGUAAACUGCUUUUUCUAUUUUUCAUAUCAUCCUCUUUUCCCUUUCUUUUAGAGUUUGCCUCUUUAAUGAAUGCUAGUGGUGUCAGAAAAAAACCAUUAUAUAUAUUUUCAAAAUUUUUCAUAUGUUGGUUAUGUUUUGAAUCUAUAUCUCUAUCAUUUUGCGACAAUGUGGACCAGUAAUUCUUUUCUAUGAUUCAAAAGGUUUAUGGGAAAGUAUGUGUAUGAAAACUUUUAUCCAUGUUUAUUUUUAAGAUUGCUAUCUGGUUUAAGGACUGCAAUUUACACAUUGUCAGCAUUGGUAAUACACAUUCUAUAUGAAGUGCAUGUGUGCACACUCAACACCACAGAUAAUAAUGUAUAUAUACUUAUUGGAUCAUGUCAAAAGUUGAUCUUGUGCAGUUGUGCUUUUAUGUGGUAUGACAUAGGAUUUCCUUCUCUUGGGGUCUUACUUCAGAAGUUGGAGAAUCCAGCACUGAGGGCAUGCCUAAAAGUAUCAUCAAAUGAGGUAUUCUUUGUUGGACAAGUAAAACACUUUGCCUGCUAACUUUUCAUUAUUUGAGUAAUAUUUAUAAUUUUAGAGGUACACAACAUCGACUACACUUUAGUGUUUGUUAUGUAUUUUGUAUUAUUGCAUGUCUAUCAAGCUGCUAUACUUUGUCAGGCAUGAUAACAUGAUUAUCUGACAUUUUCUCUGCUGAUAAUAGGGAUGCACUUGAUGCAUUGUCACCCAGAUUGUCUAUCCAGGUCCAGAAACAUGUAUCAACAUGUACAUGUCAUAUUCGAUUUGCUUGGAUAUGUACUGGAUGCAACAAUCCAUUUGAUUACAUGUCUGUUUAGUUCCAAAAUCUUUCAGACAAGAAUAGACUUGGUUCAAUCACUUUGAGAAGGUGAGAGAACUCUUGCAAUGAAGUAGGGAAGAAAGAAUGCGAUGCAAACCCCUUUCUAGGAACUGCACCCAGGCUUUCUUUCUCAUCUAUGUAAUACUUACACAUGUCCACACUUCUUUGUGAAGAUCAAACACAGAAGCGUUUGGGAAAGAACUGCCUUGAAAAGACAUAUGAACCAUGAAUUGCUGGCAACCAUAGAGGAUUUACAAUCUUUCUAUCUUCCUCAUUAUUGGUUUUCUUUCUUUAUUCAAGACUAUGCAAAUCUUUCUAUCUUCCUUCUUACAAACUCAUGUCCACACUAUAGAGGAUGUUCUUUCAUUAUUUUUAUUCUCAUACCUUUGCUGUGUGUUAUGGUUAGUUUAUUCCUCAUCUCUCUCUCUCUCUCUNNNNNNNNNNNNNNNNNNNNNNNNNNNNNNNNNNNNNNNNNNNNNNNNNNNNNNNNNNNNNNNNNNNNNNNNNNNNNNNNNNNNNNNNNNNNNNNNNNNNNNNNNNNNNNNNNNNNNNNNNNNNNNNNNNNNNNNNNNNNNNNNNNNNNNNNNNNNNNNNNNNNNNNNNNNNNNNNNNNNNNNNNNNNNNNNNNNNNNNNNNNNNNNNNNNNNNNNNNNNNNNNNNNNNNNNNNNNNNNNNNNNNNNNNNNNNNNNNNNNNNNNNNNNNNNNNNNNNNNNNNNNNNNNNNNNNNNNNNNNNNNNNNNNNNNNNNNNNNNNNNNNNNNNNNNNNNNNNNNNNNNNNNNNNNNNNNNNNNNNNNNNNNNNNNNNNNNNNNNNNNNNNNNNNNNNNNNNNNNNNNNNNNNNNNNNNNNNNNNNNNNNNNNNNNNNNNNNNNNNNNNNNNNNNNNNNNNNNNNNNNNNNNNNNNNNNNNNNNNNNNNNNNNNNNNNNNNNNNNNNNNNNNNNNNNNNNNNNNNNNNNNNNNNNNNNNNNNNNNNNNNNNNNNNNNNNNNNNNNNNNNNNNNNNNNNNNNNNNNNNNNNNNNNNNNNNNNNNNNNNNNNNNNNNNNNNNNNNNNNNNNNNNNNNNNNNNNNNNNNNNNNNNNNNNNNNNNNNNNNNNNNNNNNNNNNNNNNNNNNNNNNNNNNNNNNNNNNNNNNNNNNNNNNNNNNNNNNNNNNNNNNNNNNNNNNNNNNNNNNNNNNNNNNNNNNNNNNNNNNNNNNNNNNNNNNNNNNNNNNNNNNNNNNNNNNNNNNNNNNNNNNNNNNNNNNNNNNNNNNNNNNNNNNNNNNNNNNNNNNNNNNNNNNNNNNNNNNNNNNNNNNNNNNNNNNNNNNNNNNNNNNNNNNNNNNNNNNNNNNNNNNNNNNNNNNNNNNNNNNNNNNNNNNNNNNNNNNNNNNNNNNNNNNNNNNNNNNNNNNNNNNNNNNNNNNNNNNNNNNNNNNNNNNNNNNNNNNNNNNNNNNNNNNNNNNNNNNNNNNNNNNNNNNNNNNNNNNNNNNNNNNNNNNNNNNNNNNNNNNNNNNNNNNNNNNNNNNNNNNNNNNNNNNNNNNNNNNNNNNNNNNNNNNNNNNNNNNNNNNNNNNNNNNNNNNNNNNNNNNNNNNNNNNNNNNNNNNNNNNNNNNNNNNNNNNNNNNNNNNNNNNNNNNNNNNNNNNNNNNNNNNNNNNNNNNNNNNNNNNNNNNNNNNNNNNNNNNNNNNNNNNNNNNNNNNNNNNNNNNNNNNNNNNNNNNNNNNNNNNNNNNNNNNNNNNNNNNNNNNNNNNNNNNNNNNNNNNNNNNNNNNNNNNNNNNNNNNNNNNNNNNNNNNNNNNNNNNNNNNNNNNNNNNNNNNNNNNNNNNNNNNNNNNNNNNNNNNNNNNNNNNNNNNNNNNNNNNNNNNNNNNNNNNNNNNNNNNNNNNNNNNNNNNNNNNNNNNNNNNNNNNNNNNNNNNNNNNNNNNNNNNNNNNNNNNNNNNNNNNNNNNNNNNNNNNNNNNNNNNNNNNNNNNNNNNNNNNNNNNNNNNNNNNNNNNNNNNNNNNNNNNNNNNNNNNNNNNNNNNNNNNNNNNNNNNNNNNNNNNNNNNNNNNNNNNNNNNNNNNNNNNNNNNNNNNNNNNNNNNNNNNNNNNNNNNNNNNNNNNNNNNNNNNNNNNNNNNNNNNNNNNNNNNNNNNNNNNNNNNNNNNNNNNNNNNNNNNNNNNNNNNNNNNNNNNNNNNNNNNNNNNNNNNNNNNNNNNNNNNNNNNNNNNNNNNNNNNNNNNNNNNNNNNNNNNNNNNNNNNNNNNNNNNNNNNNNNNNNNNNNNNNNNNNNNNNNNNNNNNNNNNNNNNNNNNNNNNNNNNNNNNNNNNNNNNNNNNNNNNNNNNNNNNNNNNNNNNNNNNNNNNNNNNNNNNNNNNNNNNNNNNNNNNNNNNNNNNNNNNNNNNNNNNNNNNNNNNNNNNNNNNNNNNNNNNNNNNNNNNNNNNNNNNNNNNNNNNNNNNNNNNNNNNNNNNNNNNNNNNNNNNNNNNNNNNNNNNNNNNNNNNNNNNNNNNNNNNNNNNNNNNNNNNNNNNNNNNNNNNNNNNNNNNNNNCUCUCUCUCUCUCUCUCUCUCUCUCUCUCUCUCUCUAUAUAUAUAUAUAUAUAUAUAUAUAUCUUUGUUAUUCAAGUGAAUACAUUGUAAUUUUGCUAGUUCGAUUUGUUUUUUUAAGUUUUAGCUUAACUUAAUGUGCUGCUAAAAUUGAACAUUUUUGGAUUCUUGAUUAGAAAAUGUGACAACUAAUAUGGUAUUAUACUUUGUCUUGUUAUAUGUAGAGUUAAAUGUAAAAGUAAUAGGAUUUUCUUUUAUUAUUUGAUUUCCACUUGAAGUCCAUGAAAAGCCUUCCGUCUUCUGUCAGCUUUUGUCCAUAAAAGGAAACUGGAUUGUCUUUUAUCAUAGGUAUCUGUUGGCAUUGGUUUCAUCACAUAUUUUAAAUUAUUUAGCAUAAUACAUCAUAGUGGUAUCUUUAAAAGCAUGUACUAGCAAUAUAGGUUCGUCGUACCGCAAUAUACCACCCGGUAUGGGUGGUACAUACUAGUUUGAUUGGAGACUAAUACGGACGGUAUAUAUCGGUUUGUUGGUAUACCCCACUAUAUCAUGUGUCAAUACAUUGGUACGUAUUGUACCGAUGGCCGGUCGGUAUACCUAUACAAAGCAAUAAGGUGAACCAUGCUGCCAUUGACAACAAGCCAUAAUGUCCACCAUAUAGCGUUUGCUGUGUGGAUAUAUAUUUUUUUCAUGAAGUUCUGUUUAGAGCAAUAUCACUAGUCAUACUAAGGGUAACCAAAUCUCUUUUUGAUGCAUCUAAGAAAGUUUUCUUAGUAAAGUUUUCUAAAAUCUCCCUCUACCUCUGAUCAUGCCACCAAUCUUAAUCAACUUACCUGUCCUUUCUAUGCAUUUAUAGGUCUCUUUGAGACAUGUUCAUCAGUCUUAAACAAAUUUCUCUCAUUUUCUGUAUAUUAAAAUUGUUCGUGAAUAUAAACACUUCAUAUUCUAUUUUUGUAUUAAUUUCGUGUCCAUUUCAACAUCCUCAUCUCAACUAUGCUACUUUUUUGUACAUAUUUUCUAACUGCCCAAAAUUCUGAUUCAUAAAAAAUGGUUGAUCUUAAUAUUAUCUUAUUUAGUUUUCAUUUUAGUUUAAGUGCAUGAUGAAUACACUUGAACAAACGUAGUAAUGCCCUAUGAUGUAGCUACUUAAUCAUGCACAAACUUACUCAGGACUAGCCAUGAGCACUGAUAAAUACACUUGAACAUUUUUGUUUCAACUACUUUCAUUUGUAUCAAGGAAUGUGUUUCCAUUCAGUUCUAAAAGGGAAUCUUAUGCAGAAGAAAGUAUAUAGGAUCAAGUACUUGGUUCAGACUGAUCUUGUUCCAAUCCAUUCAGGUGUUCUUUGUCAAGUUUCUUAUUCCCUUGUGGUGGAAGUGAAACUUUUGUUAGGACACUAAAUUAUGUGACUCUUUUUCUGCUUGAAUGACUCUCAGUUCUUUAAUAUUAAUUAUCCAAGUCUUCUCUGUUUAUGUUUUAUGUUUGUCUUUCUUAUAUUUCUUGUAUCUUGAAGGGUGUUUUGGUCCGGAGAGUUGAACCCACUUCUCCAGCUAAUGAUGUUCUCAAGGAGGUAUCCUUUGUUAGAAAAUGGUACCUUUCAUCCCAGUUGUUAUGUAAUACCUGCACCGGUUAUAAUGCAAUUGCUGUGUGUCUCCAGGGAGACGUGAUUGUAAGCUUUGAUGGUGUUCAAGUGGGAUCAGAAGGAACUGUCCCAUUCCGAUCCACAGAGCGGAUUGCCUUUCGCUAUUUAAUAAGUCAAAAGUAAAGACUUAAUUUCUUUUAUAAUUGUAGAUAUAAAUGACCAAAACUAUCACAGUAGGUUUUUUUAUUCUGUUGUCUUUCAUGCUUUACCUGUUUGGCUUGUCCAUACACCUGACAAUUAGAACACUGGUCAAAUAUGCCUAUUUAAUUUUGGACACUGUUCUGCAGUUUUGACAUUACUUCUUCUUUAACUCUCUUUUUCUUUUCCAAGGAAUCUGUGGUCACUUAUGUUACUCAACGAGUAUACCUGCUAGGCAUGAUGUAAUAAUGACUGAAGUAAAUUGAUGUUUUGGUUAUCAGGUUUUCUGGUGAUGUUGCAGAACUUGGGAUCAUCCGCGAUGGAACCUACAUGAAAGUUCGGACUGUCUUGCAACCUCGGGUGCACUUAGUAAGUAAUUAGAGUUUUGCAUUCAAAGCCUAUGGCCAACACUUAUUAAUAACCUAACUUUUCAUGCAAAGGUGCCAUUCCACAUUGAAGGAGGACAACCUUCGUAUCUGAUAAUCGCAGGCCUUGUAUUCACUCCUCUCUCAGAGCCUCUGAUAGAGUAAGUUACCUGUAGUGAAAAUUCUCUGUUUUAUUAAUUCGCUUUGGUUUUGUUGGAUGCUGAUAUUGAUCAACAUAUCUGAUUCAUGUGACAGAGAGGAGUGUGAAGACUCAAUCGGGGUAAGUUUAUGAAGUUGGCUGUUGCUUUUGCACCCUGUUUAGUCUUUCAUGUGAACUAAUUAUAUAUAUUUAUCUUUUGUUGUCAGCUUAAAUUACUAGCAAAGGCUCGUUAUUCUUUAGCGAGAUUCAAAGGCGAAGAAAUUGUAAUAUUAUCACAGGUUAGUUAAUGCUCUUCUUGAUGUUCUUUGCUAAAAAUGUGAAGUUUGUUGACAUGGGAAAGAAAUAAUCAGAUGAAAUCUGGAGGAUGUAUAUAUUAUGAGGGAUGCUCUCCACAUAGAUUAUAUCGAGUUACUAUAACUUUUAUGGACACAAACAGAAUCUGAAAGAACAGUUUGUUGUUUAGGUACAAAAGUUUGAUUAUUCAGAAUAGGUCAUAUAGCAUGCAUAACUUGAAGCAGACUUUAAAAACAAGUGGACCAACAUUUCUGCUGACCUUAUUGUCAUGUCAGACUCAACUUGCUUUAUGAGCUUCUUGUAGAUGGAGUCAAAGUGCUAAUAUGUAGGACUUCUAACAUAUGGCUAUUUUCUUAAUCUAGCUGGCAGGAUAUUAAAUGUGUGCAUCCUAAAAUUCGAGUUGGAAAAACUAUUCGAAAUUCUGGUCUUUAUAUCAAAAUGAUAUCCAUCAUCAUCCACAUGUAUGUUCCCUCAUUCAUUCAUUUCUUUUCUUCCUUUUAUAGGUUUUAGCUAAUGAAGUGAACAUAGGAUAUGAGGAUAUGGGCACCCAACAGGUAAAUGUCCUGCAAUUGCAUGUCUGAUUAAUUAUCAUAUUAAUUUAUGGAAGCCUGAAUAUGCUAAUUACUUUUUAUAGGUGAUGAAAUUCAAUGGAACUCCAAUAAAAAACAUCCGACAUCUGGCUCAUCUUGUUGACAGUGAGUUUUCUUUUUUCCCUGUGAUUACAUUCAACAAGUUAAUACAAUGUCCUGCCGCCUCCGUUAUCAUUUUGUGUACUGUGUAGCUUGCAAAGACAAGUACUUGAUAUUUGAAUUUGAAGACAAUUUCCUUGCUGUUUUGGAACGAGAGGCUGCUGCUGCCGCCUCACCAUUUGUUCUAAAAGACUACGGAAUUCCAUGCGAAAGAUCAUCUGAUUUGCUCGAACCAUUUAUUGACUUGGAGGAAGACAAACAAAUACUGAAUCAAGAUAUCGGGGACAGCCCUGUGUCAAAUUUUGAGAUUGGAUUUGACGGCCUCCUAUGGGCAUGAAAUGAAAUGAUUCUACAAUUUCCAGAAAAUCCCUACUGGCCGCUCAGCAAUUGAGAUAUCGAAGAGCAGGAGAAAUUGCCAGGUGCCUACAACAUCCCAUGCUAAUUGUUUGAGAUCCUCCUGAUGAUGGAAUUUGUGUCACCCAUUUGUCAUUACCAAGAACUUCUGGAACACAAGGGCUUGAAGAAUUUGUUGCAGCUUGCCCUAGGAAGGUGUCUAAGGUUGCUGCAAUUGGCAAUUUUCUUUCAUGCAUCUCGAUAAGAGAACAUUUACUGUUUUUUUUAUCUCUUGCUACUGAUGAUUCAAUGAGAAAAUUUGAUGUUGUUGGUACAUUUUGUGCAUUAAAGCGACUGUUUGGCUGAACAUGAUCGAACCUUGUGACAAGGAGAUUACAGCAUAGUCCACUUGAGUCCGUGGAGGAUGAAUAGAAUGCUUUGUGUGCCAACAUUUUUUUGUUUCUUGCGUCAAGAUUCGUGCAUAGCCGCUUAGUGGUCUGAUGGUUGUCCCUUCUCGAUCUAAGGAGGUAAUGAAAAUUUAGUAAGGGGCUUGCGAUGGGUGGGUUGGAUGAUUGCCACGUAAUCAGAGGUUCUUUCUCGACCUCCCAAAUAAAUAAAUUUUUAUUAUAUUAAAAAUAUUAAAAUUAUGUACAUGACAUGUACAUAACCUUCGCAUGUGGACUUGAACUAAAGACGUAUAAAAAUACACUAACUAAUACGAUGCCCCUAUUAAAUACUUAUUAAAUAUUUUGUUUGCGUUUUAUUUUAUUUUUUAUGAAUGUCUCUCUUUUAUUUUUAUUUUUUUCUAGUUCUCUCUUUAGAGUUGAUUUUUUAUAUGAAUCAAAUUAAUAAAAAAAUAAAAUUAUAAAUUAUUGAAAUUAUAAAUUCUCUUUUGAAACUUAUAGAAACCCAUAACUCAAGUUCUUGUUUUAAAUAAUAAUAUUUAUGUAUAUAUAAAUUUAAAAAAUUAAUAUUUUGAUUGUGUGAGUAUUAUUUGGUUUUAAAAAAUUAAGCUUUAACUGAGUACAUUGUUUCAAAAAAGAAUGUGACCUUAAGUUUUUUUAUUGGUGAUGAUAAGACUCUUAAGGUUAUCUUUUUUUCAGAGACUUUUAGGUAGUUUUGUUUUCUUUCCUCAAAAUUUUUAGUUUAUUUUAUGAUUAUAUUAAUAUUUUGAAAUGUUGUAUGUUGAUAUAUUGUAUUAAAUUAAAAUAUGUAAAAUAUAAAUAUCUGAAAAUUAUUUUGUAUGUAUUUUAAAUUAUUUUAUUUUUUUAAAUAAUAAUUUCAUGUUAAAAUUUAGAAUUUAUUAUUUCUUAAAUUUAUAUUAUUUGUUUUUUAAUUAAAUAAUUCAUUUGAGAUGGCUUGCUGAACUAACCAUCAACAAAAAUAAUGAUAAGAUAGAAGGAAAAAAUAUUAAAAAUACACGUGUAUGGUUGGAUUUAGAAGCAUCAUCUUACGUGGCAAACACCCAAGCCACUCAACCUUAUUCCAAGUCACACGCAGUUGCGUUUCCCGUUUCCGGCAGCCGCGUUUCACCCUUAAUUAAUAUCCAGCCUCUCCGCGACUCUCUUUUCCUUCCCGAGCGAUCGUUGAUUUCCCCCAAGAAUCCAUCUCUCCUUCACCUCUCCGCUCCCCGAAAACAUCGAUUCUUGCACGAUUCGCCAUCCGUUAUGCGCCCCUUUCUUCGGGGACCGUAAGUUUUACUUCUCGUCGUCUUCUGAUAUCCAACAACGAAUUGGAGAAGCCGCGAAGGAGGCUCGGUUCGUGCGGGAAUUUUGUCGCUUAGGGUUUCGAAUCCUUCGAAGGUCAUGGGACGAUGGCUGUUGGUCAAGGUCUUGGUUUUGAUCGGAUUAUUCGUCGUUUCAGGAGGAAGAGGUAAUCAUGCUCCGUAUACCGAUCCUGAAUUUCUUAUCCCCGAGAUUAGGAUAUCUUCGAAAGCGAAAAGUUCCUGCAAGAACCAUGGCGGAAUUUACAUCUCUGCAUGGGUUCAUUUGCUUUGUGGCAAGAAAGUUUUUGUUUUGUGCCUGAAAAGAAGCAGAUUGUGGAACAUGCGAAUCUUGAUGAAUGAUAAAUGCUUUUUGUAUAGGGUUCCUAAGUUCUUGAUCCUUUUUAUCUAUGGUGUACAGUAAUUAAGAUGAAGCAUGAGGUUGAAGGCCCUGUCUACAAUCAAACUAUCGUCAAGAUUCUCGUCGAAUAUGCCUCUGCUGUGAGUCUGACCUCACCCUGCACUGGUUGACAAUUCAUUAAUCGUUAUUGUGGCUGAGGAUCUUGAUACAAGCGCAACUUGCAUUUACUUGUUUUGAGAAUGGCUUCAUAUCAAACUUUUUCCUUCUUAAUCAGAUUACGCACUUUUAUUCCCUUUACAACAUCAAAGUUGGUCUUCACAAGAAUCGGUUUCUUUAUAUUUGGUUGGAGAAAAACAUUACUCUGUCCAUCUCUCUGCAUGUUGUAGGUCUAUAUGACAGAUUUAACCGAACUUUUUACAUGGACUUGCUCAAGAUGUAAUGGUCUGACAAAGGUAUGAAAGUUUUCAGGGAUUCAAAUCAAUGUAUCUGUGAAUGUUAAGGGUGGUGUCCUUUUCCAAUAAUUUGACUGGAAUGGAUCCUCAAAUCCUGGAUGCCUUUGUCUUGUUUCAGGGAUUCGAGAUGAUAGAGCUUAUUGUUGAUGUCCAGAACUGUUUACAGGUCCAAUUCUUUUUUUCGUCUCUAUUUUGACCAGUUUCCGUGAUUGUCAGCUUAAUGCAUCUCCUUAAGUUCCAAGACUUUUGUGUUUGAACUAUUUAUGCAGGCAUUUGUUGGAGUUUCUCCUGAUCUGAAUUCAAUUAUUAUUGCUUUCAGAGGCACACAAGAACACAGGUGAAGCAAGAAAAAACCUUUUACUAUAUGUAUAUGACAGCAAUAACGAAAAUGUGUGAGCAGAAAUUCUUGGACCUGGAACUAGCAGUAUUGAUGCAGCUUAAGGGCAAUUGUAAUAUUAGUUGCCUUUAAUUAAAGAAUGCAGCUGUCAAACUAUACAUAUGGUAGCCAAGCUAAUAAACUGUACCAACUUGUCUAACGACUAGGAUGCCUAGAUUUAGUUCCAGUGAAACUUGGUACCCAAAUAUGGAAGCAGGUCAUAAAAUCAAGAAACUAGAAUUUACUACUGAGACCCUUACUAUUUCCACCCACAUGUACUUUUCGUUUAUGUGAAUGUUCUGAUUCCUAGAAUAUGCAUUUUGAUUGAUUUCUAGCAGACAAUUUACUUGUCAUUUUUCAUGCCUUUGUUGCCAUGUGCCUAAUUGGUAUGCAUUGCAUGUCUCUGGUGGACACGUGGUACAAUCAAGCUCUUACCUUGGAUAUUGAAUUUGAAAUUUGAAAUCAUAAUUGCCAUAAACUGGUGUCUAUUUAACAUGUACAUAGCCACAAGCAUCUUGGUUUAUAAACUAAUAACACAAGCUAAAUAAUCGUAGUAUUGCAUCGGCUUUGUACUGCAAUUAGGACUUAGAAUGAGUUGCUGCAUUCCGAAUCAGAAGCUUGUGUCAUGGUGAUUAAUUCAGAACAAGAAUUCCUUGCCAUCAUCUUGUCUUGCCUGCACUUCAUGCUUCCAAACCUUGUUGUAUAUCGAAGAUAUAGUUUGGUAUUAACUAGAAAUUUACACAUAAUACUGUCUCAUCAUAACAAAUUAAUUAUCUUUACAAAUUUUUAGUGAAAUAUUGGAAUUAAUUAGCUCGUCUGUAAUACGUACCAUGGCAUGCAUAAAAUAGAUGUGCUCUAUUAUUGGUUUCCAACUUGUUUUUUGAGGUUAAUGUAUUUCUUAUUUAAGUUAAAAUUUUAACAUUUUGAGUUUGCAAUAAAUCUUUUGUUAUCUUCUGCAUGGUCAGUGUUAUAUCUGUUUUAAGGCAAUGGUCAUUGGGUGGUUAUUAGUUUCCUUUUCAAGAUCCAUAAUUUCAUACAGUUGCCGCUUGGUUUUCUUUUUUCCCACUUUCUGUCUGUUUUGUGGAUCCCUGUAUAUGAAUGCCAGUUUACUAGUAAUUCCAAACAAAUUUUGUUAACUAUUAUUACUAAUUCAUGGCAAACAUUUUUAUAUUUUAUUUAUUGUGUGAUAAUUUUUUGAUUUGUCUCUAUAUCUGAUGGCAAAAAUUAGAUGUCUACAUAGUUUUCUGAAAUGCCUGCAUAUCUGUCUAUGAAUGGACCAAUUGUCUUGCUAUAUCUUGACAGCAUAUGUAAUUGGAUUGAAGACUUGUUCUGGAAGCAGCUGGAUCUUAACUACCCUGGCAUGCCAGAUGCAAUGGUCUGUGAACUUCUUACUUCUUAGAAAGAAUUUAUUGACAGAAUGAACAUAUUUGAACUUAAUAAUAUGCUUUGUUUGUGUUGUUAUAGGUGCACCAUGGGUUUUAUUCUGCUUACCAUAACACUACACUGCGUCAUGGGAUCCUAAAUGCUGUUCAAAGGGCUAGGGAGGCAUAUGGAAACAUCCACAUUUUCGUUACAGGGCAUUCAAUGGGAGGGGCUCUAGCUUCCUUUUGUGCACUUGAUCUUACUGUAAUGUUCGUCAACUUUAUGUUUUUAUUUUGUUUAUGUUGAUCGACACUUUUGUGCUGAUUUUUCCUUCACUUAUCAUGGAGACUGAUUAUCUGAUUGACCUAAAUACUAGAAGUACACAUUAUCUACCAACACCUUUAUCUGCUUUUUUAUAUUUAGGUACAUAGGAGUCUUAUCUGCCAAGGAUUAAAAAAAAAGUAAGACUAUGAUAUACUAACUAGAGCAGUAAUUAUCUGGGUUAAGUUAGAAGGGUUGGUUGCUGCUCAUUGUGGGUCAGCAUGGUUUCAUCCUGUUGCAUAAAAAAUUCUAAAUAUACAUUCAACCGUACCACAAUAUUCUAUUUUGUAUUAUGUAGAUCUUUUUAAAAAUUCUAUUUCAUCUAAUCCGAAACAGAUUAGCUAUGUAAAAGUACUCCGAUCCUUAACAUCGUCUAUGUAAAAUUUCAGCACCUGAGUUGUACGGAAUUCAUUUUGCCUUUAUUGUUUUAUUAAUUUUUGAUUUGUUGCCUUUUUGCUUAGAGGGUGAACAUUGACACUACGGCAAAGUCUGUCCAGCUCAUGCAGUCUGUCUGUCUUUUAAAUUGAGAUUGUAUUAACAAAAUUAACACUGUAGAUUAUUUCGUUGAUUUUUUUUUUCUUGAAAGGCCUGUAAACAAUAUUCAUGCCAUCUAUGAUUAUUUCUUUUCCUCUACAUUUGUAGUUAAAUUUGGACCUAUUUUAUGAUUCUAUUUCAUGGAUGUGACAUGGAAUUUUUGGCUAUUGUUAGAUUAUGUGUAAUUCAAUUAUGACACUGCCAUCAUUACUUCUUGGAAUGAUGUAUAAGGAACAUAAUUUUGUUAUAGAUGCCAUGCAAUUGCAAUUUUUUCAUCAUUCUUAGAAUGUAUAAGGAACAUAAUUUUGUUAUCUCCCUGUAGAUUAAACAUGGAAUAGAAGACAUUCAGCUCGUGACAUUUGGACAGCCUCGUAUAGGCAAUGCAGCUUUUUCCAAUUAUUUCAUCAGACAUGUACCACAUACAGUUCGUGUGACUCAUGCAAAUGACAUUGUGCCACACUUACCGCCAUAUUAUUCCCAUUUUCAACGAAAGACAUACCAUCACUUUGCAAGAGAGGUAACAACUGUCCUUAAAUUUGUGCUUGUAGAGCUUGUAAACUGUAGCUAAAACAUGAUUUUAUACUUCAACCUGAAGAAAACACAGAGAGCUCUUUGAAUGUCAGCUGCUAGUUUGAAUGUUGCCUCCAAUUGUGGUCCGUGACCUUAUGCCAAUUUAUUUCAUAGUCGUUACAUAGAUCAAUGAGUCAUCAAUCCCCACAAUGAAUUGUUUGCUUCUGUAGCAACAGAAACUAGUCAAUUACAUUCCCCGAUUCUAUUUUACCUUUCAAGGAGUGGUGUAUAUGUUUUGCAUUACAGCUACCUAUUACAUGGAUCAUAGGUAUGGUUGUGCAACUUAUCAGGGUCAGGUUGGGUCGAAGAUCAAUUCAUCCAACAUGUGAAGAGCCUUUCUUUGCAGCUUGGUUACUUUGGGCUAAACAAAUUCAGGCUUCUGGCUUGAUGCCUUGAUCAGAAAUACUAAAUUGAUUCUUGGGUUUAUGUACUAUUUCCUUGAAAGUCUUUUCCAUGGAAAUAGUAAUUAAAAAGGCUUGUGUUUAACUGGGUCUAAACCCUGCUAUAGAACUGUGGUCUAUCGCCAAAUAUUAUUAGACCAGUGGAUAGACUAAUUAAAGCCUCAUUAAAUUGAUUAUAGAAUUCUCUAUUUGGAUCUGUUCCAAGUGGAUCCCUCUCCGUUCCAAUUCUGAUUCGCUUACAACCUUAAUCAGGAUAAUCACUUGUUAAAAAAUUCUAGUUAAAUGUGAUUCUUUGUUACAUUGUUAAAAAGGCAGCAUGUUACAUUCCAAAAAGAAUUUCAGGUUUGGCUCCAAGACAUUGAAGUAGAAAGCCUUGUAUACUCAGUUGAGAAGAUCUGUGAUGGAUCUGGAGAAGACCCUUCUUGUAGCAGGUAUAUUUGAAUUCUUGUACCAAUUUUGAUUUAAUUUAAAAAGACUACCGUUGCCUCUCUGUUCCGAUGCUUACAACAAUUCUUCCUUGACAGAUCUGUUUCCGGGAACAGCAUAGCGGACCAUCUCAAAUAUUAUGACAUCGAUUUACAGGCUGAUUCUUUGGGAUCUUGCAAAAUCGUUAUGAAUACUAGCACCACACGGUACCAUGUAGAUGACAGUGGUAAUAUUAUGCUAUCAAAGGAUCAUCUUUCUCCAUCAUUUGUUGAACUUAAUUCUCUUGUACUAUAAAUACAAAGUGGCAGUUCUGUGUCGUGAUCCUCUCUUUAUUUUGAGGAUGAAAUGCUUGUAUAUAUAUCGUAUAUGGUGUAAUUUCUUCUUUUUCUUUUCCUAUUGAUUCAAGAAUGUAUAUAUGCACACAUCCUAAAAAUUAAUUGUUCUUGAUUGAAUAAAUUCUCUCCAUUAUUUGCUCGUAUAUGCUUACCAGUUGUGCGUACCGACUAGGUCAUGUUUUUCCUUUUCAUGCCAUUGUGUACUUGCCUUUAUUUGAUUGUUCCAAAGCUUGCUUCGAGUAAUGCAGGUUCAAUCGAGAGGUUUGUUUCUGCAGCGUUUGUGCUUGAUAAUGAAUGCCAAUUGUUGAUUGUUUGUUCCAUCUUUUUCUCCUUUUUAUCUUCCAGCUGUAAUUUCAGACAAACUUGUGAUGGUUUGCAUUUUUCGAACAAACUUAACAUGAUUUUGAUGCUGUGUUCUUAGCUAGUUUUCCACAUGGAUUCUGCAAGAAAGUUGCAUGUCUUUGUUUCACCAAUCACCUACCUUCACACACUAUCAAUGGAGUCUUGAUCAUGCCAAAAUACACUCUAAUCAUCAGAGAAAGUCAACAAGUAUGGCACAUGUAUUUUAUAGAUGAACAAUGUAAGAAAGUGUUUGAUGAAUUUACCACCUACACAAAGUAGUCCUCCAUGACUCGAUGACUUCAAAUGGAUUAGACCAUCCAAGCAAGAGCACCAUGUCUUGAUCGGGUGGCAUCCAUCGGUUUGCUUCGCGGUGUAGAUUUGUCAUUCCAUGCCAACUACAUAUCCCAAUUCAUUGCAAGAGAUAAUGAGAGUAUCUUCCUCACAGUGAGUGCAUGGAAUUGGAUACAAGCUUCUGCAACCUUUGUCUUAAUUAGAGCCUGGUAUUGGUCAUGUUGCAUAAGGAUACCUUCACACACAAUACAAAAAAAAGAUCCAAAACUUACCAUGUGGAAAUGGAUUCUCUUCAGGGGCCACAUUUGUCUCUUCAAGUUCUCAAAGGUCACUAUCAGUUUCAAUUAGCAUCAGAACAGAAAGAAGGGCCACCUAGAAGAAAGGGGCAUGCCCAAGCCUAAAUCUAUGUAAUAAACAUAUGUUUCUAAUUACAAUAGGAAGAAGAAAACAAGACACAUAGCAGUGUCCUCAAAGCUAAUUUGUGCAUUUCAGAAACAAAGAAGAGCCAUUGAGAAAUAAAACUUCCUUUAAUCAAGUGUAUGAUACUGUAAGUGGCAAGAAUGCACAUUACCAAUUUCUUCUCCUAGCAUAAAUAUCCAAAUAUUAACUUCAAAUGCACUGCAAAUAGUUCUUUAAAGCACUUAAACCAUUAUGUUCCGAGAAUUGAAUGCUCGAAUUUAAGAGCGAUCGCUAUAAGCAUCUGGAUAGACGAGCUUUUAUCUGGAUGCAUCUUAUAUAUCUGAAUUAUGAAUCAACUGCUUGUUAGAGAUUCCAAAUAACAAUUUGCAUUUCAACAAGAUGCUCCAUCUUGCUGAUAUUGAACCUGAAAUCAGAAAACCUAGCAUGAGGCAAAUCUCAUCUGUGUGAAGAGGAAGAUGCAUAAGAAUACCAUGAAACUCAUUCUGCUUUUCUACCUGAUUUGGUGACAUGAAGGCAAGUGAUAUGAGGUGCAUUUAACCCCAGGUUUACAUGCAUAUUAUUCACUGACUGCUAGUACAGAGAACUCUCUGCAUUAUACAACAAUCAGAUGAAGAAAAUGAAUAUGUUGCAGCAUCAAAAAUAUCGUUGCCGACGUGGUGAUCUGCAGAUGAAGUAAAAUGAAUACAAGCAACAUUGGUGGCUCGGUUUCCACUUGGGACCUUUUGAUCCUGCCAAAAGAGUAGAGAAAGGAUAAGCCUGUGAGGCAAUGUGGAACAUGUCCUUCGAUGUUAUAUAUGGUGCAGCCUUAAGGUUCUGCAGUCCCCACUAGCAAUUGGAAUCAACUCUCCCUUCACAGAGGAUGACGUCUCCACUGAAAUGCACCUGAUUCUCCAUGUCUCACUGCAGCACCACACUGCUUGUUUCUUUCAUAUGGAUGUGGUAUCAUGAUUCUUUUUUCAUGGACCAGCAAUCGAUGGAUAAUUUUGGACAGUGUAAAGAAGCUUGACCCAAAGAGAUGCCACAGGAGAGACUCAGUGGUAUGUUCAUAUCUAUAUCCAUAAUUUGCAAGUCUUCUCUUGUCUAUCCACCAUGAUAUGUAGCAUGAAUCUACCAUCCAGAUCAUAGAUAAACAAUGUAACUGAAGCAGAUAAAGGCUGAUCAUGAGCUGGAUACCUAUGUGACAAAUCAGACUAAAACUGAUAUCGAUGCUCUUUGACUUUCUGAGGCAAUUUACAGUUUCACUGCUGAAGGACAGAAAAAUCUGUGUUCUGCUAUUGACUUGAUUGGAGUGAAGAUUAAGUGGGUUCAGUUUGUUCUCCACUUUGUCCAUCAACAUUGUGAGGCUAUUCGAGCCAUACUCUCUGCAAACUGCUAAAAACUUCAAGCUCUUGCAAUGGCAACUCAGUACAUGUUUCAGUGUCUUGAAACUUCUCGGUUUUUCUCAGACUUUAGAAAUGAGAAUCUGAUGGAAGAAGUCAGCAUCUCAUGCUGGCCUACUCAUCCAAGAGCGGACUUGGACUUUUCAAAACUGCAGAGAACUUCUGGCGUCAAAAAAUUGGUAGCACGACAGCCUCCCAGAUAUUCCAUAGUGCACAGCGCAUCUGUGACCACAGCCAGGAAGAAAUCUGACAUUAUCCAAAUCACAAAAUAGUACCAAGUGGAAUACACAACUGAAGUGAAUGACAACGAGGGUCACCGUCCAUGCCAUGAUAAGAGAGUGCUCCAGGCAUGCAGACCAUAUCCAAAGGAACAUAUGCUCCCUUUUGGCUGCAAUCCUUGUAGUGUUGUGAAACAACGAUCUUUUUGGCUCUAUAUAAGCAAGCCACACAGGAGGAGAGGAAGACCAAUACAUACCAGGUCUUAAGCAUUUAGUUUGGCUCUUCAGCAACCACAUCCCUUGAUCAAGGACUUGAGAUCCACAUAUCAGUUGCAUUUUCUUGGUGAGAUAAAAUGGACAAGGUGAUGAAGAUGGCAUCACAACGAGCAGUGGUAGUCUUCAGCUUGAGCUCAUGCUGCAUGUGCCAUACUGUUUUGAGCCUCUUCCAUGACCUUGGUGUCAAUGCCACCAUCCAUGAGCUCGACGAGGACCCAAGGGGGAGAGAGAUGGAGAGGGCUCUUGCCAGGCUUGUGGGGCGUAAUCCGCCGGUGCCAGUAGUAUUCAUUGGCGGCAAGCUGGUUGGAUCCACAGACAGGAUCAUGUCACUGCACCUUGGUGGUAAACUGGUCCCUCUUCUUCGUGAGGCAGGUGCUCUUUGGGUAUAGAUAGUGAAUUCUGCACUCUGAUAAGAAUCAGCUAUAUAUGAGAAGUAGACAAAAAGAUUAUCUAAUACGAAAUGCGAUGUGUGAAAAUAAACUAUAGAGUAUGACUUUAUGUGUACAAACUCGUUACAGAUCAUACACCAUGUACCUUUGACACUAUAAUGAAUAUUGGUUAAGAGUUCUCUUAGAGAGUGGUUCUUCUUUCUUCUGCAUUGUGCUUGUGAGCCUGAGUUGUAAAUAACUAAGUUGCCAUAUGACCACAAAACUUUUGAUAUCAGACCCAAUAGAGGGAGAUGGUGGAUCCUUUAAAGCAAAAACUGAUGCCCAUUUGACUUCAUGAAUUCUGCAAUCUAACAACACAGAAUCAAGUACACGUUAGUAUAUUUCUUGAAUAUUACUAUUUGCAACCCCUCUUUACAAUUUACAAUCCCCUUUUUAAAAUUUUUAAUAUUUUUAAACUGUCCCUUUGCAAAUGGAAUUAAAUACCCUUUUUUCCUCCUCGUCUUCUCCUUCUUCCUUCUCCUCCUCUUCUUCUUCUUCCCUCUUCUCCUCUUCUUCUUCCUCCUCCUCCUCGGAGGAUUGUCAUGGACUUAGCUCUAAUUGCCUAAGUCGUGAGGCACCUCGUGAUGCACCCUUGUGGCAAAGUCAUAGACUUAGCUGAAGUUGCCUAAGUCGCGGAGCACCCUUGCACCAACUUCUCGGACUUAGCUGGAAUUGCCUAAGUCAAGAGGUGUCCUUGCGACAUAUGCAUCCACAAACAACUGCUCACCGGGUGUCGGCCGCGAAGGCAAGUUUCUGUCAAGUUAAUAUGUGAACUUGUGAAGAUUGUUCAAUGCCCGACACUACCCCGAAGUCCCAUCCCCCAUGGUGCCACUCGGGGGGUUCCAGGGUGCUGAGAUGGCUGACGUUUCACGUGAGGCUAUGGUCUGCAGAAAAUAGGCCGUGACACGUAAAAACAGAACCAUUUUGGGGCAGUUUGGCCUGACGCGACGAGCGGUCGCACUAUAACGCUGCGAACUAUCGUUGCUUGCAUUUUCCAAACAAAAACACAAAACCAAGGCAAAAUAUAUUAACAUGUAUCUGUACAAGCAUGCAAAAGCAAUGAACGGUUCGUUGAACGAAGUUGUUGCAGGUGCACGACGACCAUUCAUGACAUUCUCCCCCACUUAAACUAUCGACGCCCUCGUCGACGCGUGUUUGAAGGCUUUGAUAGCUUUCUUCUUCAUGUUAUAGGGCGUCUUUUGGCUCCUAACUAGCUUCGGUCCGAGGAAGCUUUUGCCACUUCACCGAGUACUCGGUCUGCUCAGCUCUGUUGGGUAGCUUCGUCUUGCGAUAUGCUAAAAUAGUUUCAACUCGGUUUUUAUAGGAGGCUCUGGUGGGCAAUAGCCGAGUUGGAACACUUAGAGAAGUAUCUUGCGGAUCUGAGUGGUAGGCUUUCAAGUUGUUGGCGUGAAAAACAUUAUGAAUUUUGAGCCACGCUGGCAGUUGCAACUUGUAGGAAGCAUUGCCUACCCAACUGAUAAUUGGGAAUGACCCUUCAUACUUGCACGCCAAUCCUUUAUGUACUUUGUGUCUAAAGAACUGGAGUGAUGUUGGUUGGAGUUUCACCAACACCAAAUCAUCGAUUUUGAACUCCUGCAGCCGCCUUCCCAAGUUUGCCCACUUCUUUAUCUUUUUGGUCGCCUUCUCCAAAUAAGUCCGUGCAAUAUCUGUAUUUCGGUGUCAUUCUUUUACAAAGUGAUAUGCUGACGGACUAUUCCCUGUAUAAUCGAUAGCCAAGGUGUGAUGAGUUGAUAGUUGUUGUCCUGUAAUGAUCUCGAAGGGGCUCUUAUUGGAUGCAAAACUCCGCUGCAAGUUAUAGGAAAAUUGGGCUAUGUCCAACAGCUUCACCCAAUCUCGUUGGUUGGCACUCACAUAGUGCCGAAGAUAUUGCUCAAGGAGCGAGUUUAUUCUUUCAAUUUAGUCAUCCGUCUAGGGGCGGAGGCUUAUGGAGAAGUACAACUUAGACCCUAGCAAUUUGAAGAGCUCGGUCCAAAAUCGUCCCAAGAACUUAGCAUCUCGAUCACUGAUGCUAUUGUGUGGGACUCUCCAAUACUUCACCACAUUCUUCAUCAUCAACUUGGUCGCCUCCUCUGCUGAACAAUGUAGGGGUGCAGCAAUGAAUGUUGCAUACUUCGAAAACCGAUCGACCACCACGAGUAUCGACCCAAGUCCCCCUACUGUCGGCAAGCUUGAUAUGAAGUCCAAGGAAAUGCUCUCCCACGGCCUUUCUGGUACGGGCAACGACUCCAAAAGUCCUACUGUCUUCUGCUGCUCCACCUUAUCUUGUUAGUAAGCAAGGCACGUUCAAACAUAUUCCUCCACAUCAGUCCCCAUCUUUGGCCAAUAAAAGACCCUCUCCACAAGAGCUAAUAUCAGUGGAUGCCUGGAUGUCCAGCCCAAAGGGAAUCGUGACACUCUCUCAAGAGUCCAUGCCUCAAAUUGUACACUUGAGGAACAUAAACUCUAUUCCCUUUUGCGUAAACGAGUCCAUCCUGAACCCAAAAUUAUCGUGUCUUGCCUUCUUUGAUUAGUUGUAUCAGGGUUACUGCUUAAGGAUCAUUGUGCAGUCCAUCCCUGAUUCUGGAAAGGAAGUUGGAGUGCAACUGACUUGUUUGGCCUCUGCCCUCCAACUGUAUGGCAUUCACCAUCUCUACUUUCCGACUCAAUGCAUCGGCCACGACAUUUGCUCUUCCUGGCUUGUACUUCGUUGCUAUGUCAAACUCAACUAGGAAGUCCUGCCAUCGUCCUUGUUUUGGGGAUAGUUUCUUUUGAGUUUAAAAGUAACUCAAAGCGAUGUUGUUCGUCCUCAGCACAAUUCGCGAUCCAAGAAGGUAGUGCCGCCAAACUCGUAGAUAGUGGACCACCACUGUCAUCUCCUUCUCGUGCAUCAGAUACCUCCGCUCGGUCUUGUUGAGCUUGCAACUCCCAUAGGCCACCGGGUGACCCUUCUGCAUUAGUACUCCCCUAAUAGUGAAGUAUGAAGCAUUUGUAUAGACUUCGAAGAGCUUCUCAUAGUUCGGCAAUUUGAGUACCGGUUCUUCCAACACAGUAGCCUUUAGAUCUUGGAAUGCCACUUUACAUUUGUCGAACCAUCACCAAGGCUGCUCCUUCAGCAACUCCGUCAGUGGAGCUGCAAGCUUCGAAAACCCAGCUAUGAAGCGCCAAUAGUAGUUGACAAAACCAACGAAGGAUCUCAGCUCUAACACCGUCUUUGGAGUUCGUCAUUCCACCACAACUUGCACCUUUGAUUUGUCCAUCCAAAUAAAACUGUCACCGAUUUGAUGCCCCAAGAAUAAGAUAUCUGUCUGAGCAAAUUAGUAUUUCUCCCUUUUCAUGAACAAAGUGUUCUCCCUAAGAACCUUGAAAAUUGUCCGAAGGUGCUUAAUGUGCUCCUCGAGUGUUUGGCUUUAGACGACGACAUCAUCCAAGUAGACGACCAUAAACUUGUCCAAAUACUCUUUGAAUAGUUGGUUCAUAAGAGUGCAGAAUGUGGCUGGAGCGUUGGUUAAUCCAAAAGGCAUCACCAAGAACUCAAACGCUCCAUACAUGGUCACACAGGUAAUCUUCACUUCGUUGCCUUCCGCAGUGUGCACCUACCAGUACCCCGACCGAAGGUCGAGUUUGAAGAAAUACUUUACUUUGCCCAGUUGAUCGAACAAGUCCACGAUAAGCGGGAUGAGAUACUUGUUCUUCACUAUCACCUUGUUGAGGGCCCUAUAGUUGACGCAUAGUCAGAGGCUCCCAUCUGGUUUCUUUUAGAAGUGAACUGGAGCUUCGAAUGAUGCUUUAGAACUGCGAAUGAGACUAUUGCUUAGCAGUUCGUCUACUGCUUUUUGAGCUCCGCCAAUUCUGGAGGGGACAUACGGUAUGGUGGUAUCAUUGGAGGCUUCAAUCCUGACUCCGACUUAAUAUAUGAUGAUCCACGCCUCUACGUGGCGAUAGAGUUUUCGGCAACUCGGGUGGCAUAACAUCUGUGAACUCCUUCAGAACGUUCGCCAUCACAGCAGGUUCAUGAAUGGCCUCCUCGUUGAGUGGCACUAACUUCACAACAACCACGAAGGUUAAUUCUCCUUUUCGUACCCUUUUCUUCAAUUGUAAUGUCGAUAUCUGUUGGGGUUCCUUGGUUCCUCUCUAAGAGACGGGAACCACGCAGGAGUCAUCCCCUCCCAUCAAACAUAGGGAGUUUAGGAACGACAUUGGCACCAACUUCGCUACAUGCAUGAACUCUAUUCCGAGAAUCACUUGGAAGUCGUUGAGUGGCAACGCCAUCAUUUUUGUGCACCCGCUCCAUGUUCCGAUCUUAAUGGGGACUCCCUUGGCCAACCCGAAGAUCCACUUGGCCUCCGAGUUCACCGGCUUCAUCCGACUUGGGUUCUUCUCCAAUAUCAGCCCAAGUCACUUUGCUUUUCGAUCGACAAUAAAGUUGUGGGUAGCGCUCGUGUCCACCAUUGCAUGAGUUGUUUGGCCAUUAAGCUUGAUGUCCACGUACAUCAGCUCGUUGUUCCCUACAUUCUGUGACUUUGACUUCAUGUCCUCCCCCACUUGACCCUGCAACGUAUUUAACAAACGCAUUACUCCCAUCUGGGGUCCUUGCGACUCCUCGUCAUUGCUGCUGGAUUCCGAACUACUCGAACUAAGAGCAACGACCUUACCCUUGUCUGAUUUGGGGGGGUAGAUUGAAGUUGUUAAGGCAUUGAGUGCUUGUUUCUGUGGACACUCCCUCAUCAUAUGUGGUCCUCCGCAGAAGAAGCAUUCGCCAGGUUUUAGGGCCUUGCUUUUUUAGCUUGGCCCUUUGUGGGAACUCUUCUUUCUUUGUUUGCCCUCGGACUCCUUCCCUCAAAAACAUUUCAAUGGGCGAUUUCCUGAAUAUUGUUUCUUUUUCCCCAAGUCCUCUUAGGAAACAAAGUCAGUGAGCCUUUUCACGGCUACAAUUGCCCUGAUCACAUCGGCGACAUUCCUUCGAUACAGUUCCAAUUGUGCCAUAACCUCAGGCCAUCAAGGAAGCUGAAUAGCUUAUCCUUUUCGAACAUAUCUUGUAUGUCCAGCUUCACUGUGGAAAAUUGUUUCAUGUAAUCCCGAAUGGAAGUACUUUGGUGGAGUUGUCUCAGCUUCCUUCUUACGACGAAGUUUGUGUUCUUGGGUAGGAACUGAGUUCUCAACUCCCGCUUCAAGUCCUCCAUGUGUCCACUCGACACCGACCUUGUUGGAUCUCCUCCUAACGGAUUCGCCAUUAAAGUUUUGCAUCCUCAUUUAUAUACAUAGUUGCUAUUGAAACUUUAGUAUCUUCAGAAUCGGACCUUGUAGCUCGAAAGUACUGUUCCAUGUCAAAUAAGAAAUUCUCGAGCUCCUUUGCGUCCCUAGCACCUCCAUAGCAAUGGGGCUCAGGUGCCCUCAAAUUUUGUGGUGGCGCAACGCGGGUGUUGCUCUCUCCCGCAUUUAGUGCCCUUAUGAGUGUUGUCACUUUGGAAGUGAGUUCCACCAUGACUUCGUGCAGAUGUUGCAUGGAGUCUUUGGUGUCUUCCGUCAGUCGAUCGACUAGGGACUCGACCUUAUCGAUUCGAGAUUCCACUUCUUCUUGCGAGCUCUCUACCGCAAGAAGCCUUCUUUAGCCUUGGUAGAGUUCCUCCAAGCUCACUUCAAGAACAUCCAAGCGGGUUUCCGCAAUUGUGAGUCUCUCCUUGUGGCUCUUCUUCCCCGUUGGCGCUCCAGGUUGCACCUCCUUCGCUUGCAAAGAGUAGCCAACUUCUCGCUCGUUAUAUUCACUAACACGCUUCUCCUGAGUGGCUCCAACAGCAUGAGAGCGCGUUUGCACUUGCAGCCCACCUGCGGCUAUUUGGGGCAAUGGUCCGGUUUGCCCCGUCUUGCUCAAUUCGCCACGAUGCUUUGCCAUGGUGAGAUUACGAAGUUUUUUUGUUGCUUGCUCGCUUUAAUACCACAAUGUCAUUGACUUAGUUGGAAUUGCUUAAGUCGUAAAGCACCCUCGCGGUAAAGUCACGGAUUUAGCUGAAGUUACUUAAGUCGCGAAGUACCCAUGCGCCAACUUCUCGGACUUAGCUGGGAUUGCCUAAGUCAUGAGGCACCUGUGCGACAUAUGUAUCCACAAAGGGUCAGCCUAGUUGCAACCUCGUACAGGUCCCGAAGGAUCUGUAAAACAGAAAGUUGAUUAGUUUGAAAAUGAGCGAUAGACAAGUCUCGACGUUUCGCGAAGAGGGAAGUUUUACAAGCAAUUCAGCAAGCACCUUGAGUGCAAGAGAGAAAAGAGAAGAAGGAGAAAACAAGGACUUUAGAAGGUUGAACGAAUAGUUGCAAGUCCAUAAACAACUACUUACUGGGUGUCGGGCGCGAAGGCAAGUUCCCGUCAAGUUAACGUGCGAACUUGUGAAGAUUGUUCAACGCCCAACACUAUCUCGAAGCCCCAUCCUGCCAGGUGCCACCAGGGAGGUUCCAGGGUGUUGGGAUGGCUGACAUUUCGCGUGAGGUUGCGGUCUGCAAAAAAUAGGUCGUGGCAUAUGAAAACAUAGCCAUUUUAGGGCAGUUUGGCCCGAUGCGACGAGCGGUCACACUACAGUGCUGUGAACUAUCAUUGCUUAUAUUUUUCAAGCAAUAAUACAUAAAACCAAGGUAAAACAUGCUGUCAUAUAUCUAUACAAGUAUGUAAAAGCAACGAAUGGUUCAUUGAACGAAAUUGUUGCGAGUGCGCGAUGACCAUUCGUGACAGAACGAUGUCAAGUGGGGUUGGGCACUGGGGAAGUAAAAGAAAAAGAAAAAAAGGGGUGAAAUCGGUAAUAUUGGGACUGUAAAUAGCAAAAUAAUAUUUCAGGGGAUUGGCAAUGGUAAAAAGGGACUAUGAACAGUAAUCUUCUAUUUUUUACUCUAGAUACCUUUUAUUACUUUCAAAUGAUUGGAGAGAAAAAAGUUAUCUAACAGAAUAUAUUAAAGGAAAAUUAUAGGCCUGUUUUGAAAAAAUAAAUUUAUGAGACAAAGGCAGGUCACGAGUUUAUUGGUCUUGAACAAACUCAUUCUCCAUGUCCUCUCCACUGAGUUGGGAGAGAGAAAAGAUUUACCUGAAUUUCACUUGCAUACCACAGUUGAGAAUAUGCAAUGCCAGCUCUAGCAAGAACUGUAUCAACAGAUAACAACAAAUGAAGCUUGGUGGAAUGCAAUGUCGGAUUGUGCAUCAGACUAGAUAACAAGUGAUGGUGACAAAUGGAUAGGUCUUAUUCCCUCAUCCUGCAUGAGCUUGCAUCUUUUGAAGGUACCCAUCAGCCAGGGAUAAGAGGAAGGAAAGUUAGGAAGGGGGAUUCGGGACAUACAGGCUCAGGGAAAACAUCCAUACCUGAAAACAACUUUUUCUGGAAUCAGCUUCUGGGGGCUUCUUUCUAAAAGGAUGAUGAUUCUGCUCAUAUUUCUGAUUUGACUCCUGUCCUGACUUGAAGAGAAUAUUGCAUGUCCAUCACUAGUUUCUUUCAAGUCAUCCUCUGCAUCUGCAGCUAUCCUACUUUAGAUUUUGGUUUUGUAUGGACAACAAUAUAGCAAGUCAAUCCCUUCUGCAUCAUCAUCCCAUUUGUUCAAGGAGAUAGUAGCAGAUGCAAGCAUUUUUUCCAUUUAAAUUUCCACAGAAAGGGGUGUGCCUGGGGUGACUGCGAAACCCUGCAGCAACUGCUGCUUACAUGGUUCAUACCAUCCCUACCAUUUCCACUCUCCUAAGAGUUCAAGAAAACAUAAAUGUAAUUGCCUUGUGCUCACUGAUAGCCUUUGUUAACUCUUUAAAAGCUGCCAGAUUUGAGGAAGAACUUCAUUGACUGUAGCAACUUGUUUUGUCCAAUGUUGUCCUAUAUCAUCCUGGUAUUAGCAGUGAUCAAGAUCAGCAACCACCUCUCAGAAUCAGCUGCUAUUGACCAAGACUGUGUCCUGAAAGAUCAAUAGAGUUUGAGGUUAGCUUGAGCCAAUUUUGACGCAAAUCGCCUUAGUUGGAUUAGGAUCAGCCACAUAUUCAAGCUUACUGCUAAAAUAUAGCGAAAUUAGCAGGUCAGACGAUCAUUCAUGUUCCUUGUUCAAUUUGUGGUGAAUUAACAGAUAAAUGCAUUAGAGCAUAAAGUUCCCGCAUAGAAAACCUCAAAUAUGUUCCUUUACCUGCAAAUGAAAUCCCAUAAGAAGAAUAGCAUUACUACACUUUACAUUUCAAAAAAAUUCAAGAAAAAGGACAAGUAUAAACAGUUUGAUAAAAUACAUGCUCAAGGCAGCAGGACAUACAUACAUCAUCAGCAACCAGAACUCUCAAAUUAAAAGGUUACAAUUCCAUUAUUCUAGAUAAACUUGAAUGAUUCAUCCCACCUAGCAAGAAAAAUUUCUGAGCCAGGUCAUGUUUGUUUCUGACCAAAUAGCAAUUAGACUAAUAGCUAAAAGUCACUGAAGAAACUCAAAAGAAAUUGCAUGACGGCGGCUGUCCAUUCUCAUCACCUCAAAGGAUGUAAUUUCAAUCAAAAUUGUUAUUUUAUCAAAACCACAGUAUUAUGCAUAUAGGAUAGAGAUGGUACAACCUAAAGAUAUAAUUGAAUGAGAUCGCAAUACCAUUUCCCGACAUUGAACGAAUGGUCCAGGGCACCAAAAUAGAACCUUUCGAGAAACCAGUUGUUCGUGCAAGAAUUCGGCUCUAGUUUCUCGAGAAUUCAAACCCUACUUCUUCCUUAAUCUCCGCGAGGUCGAUGGACAACUUCUCCGCGACCCGAUCUUCGUCCGUCCUUUGGACAUCGAUCAAUGUAACCUUGCUGCACAAGUCUUUCCACCAGCUCUAUCUACUCCGGACAGAGGCGAGCAAGUGGGAGAUGAAGCAGAGAAGGUGGGGUUUUGACGAGGGGGAGCAGCGGAGAGGGCGUAAGGUCCGCAGUGUUAAGGUGAUCUUACCCCCUGCCACGAGGAGGUUGAACUACCCCCAAAAAAAUUAAUUUUAAGGAAAAUCGUCCAACUCUACGGAGACUUAGUCUCAUUCGCGGUGACCAUACUCUGACGGUUAACUGCGGUGCAUGGACCGUCGCGUCAUCUUACCUCGAGCCGCUUGUUCGAUCAAAUGCUAUAAGAAAAAUUAAACGAUCAUAAAAUCAUUCCUUCGCGGUGAUCAGACUCAAGGGACUAUUGCGAUAUAGGAACCGCUUCGUAAGCUUACCUUCGGUCAUUUCGGGGAUAAAAUACCUUCGAAAAAAAUAAAUCGUCCUAAAAUCAUCCCGCUGCGGGUUGCUUACUAUUACUCGCAGUGACCGGAUCAAAGACGUAUGGACCAAACCGAGGGCCGUUGAUGGGCCGUGUUAGCUUCGUUCUCUCCAACUUAAAGCCUUUCUAAGAGCUCUUUUCUCCACCUUAGCAAGCUUCAUCCACCAUUCGGUCCAACUCUUGCACAAAUGAUUCAUAUCAAACUCAAAUCAUGAUCCAUUCCAGUCUCAAACCGCAACCGAACCCGUCACUAUUAAUGAACGGAUGCAACAUGACCGACUCGAAGCCCAGUCAAUCAAUUACAAGACUUUAUUAUGACAUCCUACCUUUUCCUUCUUUUUAUCUAAUUACUAAUAAUAAUAAUAAUAACAUAUUAUCGCCUGUAAUUUAUCGCGUACAAUGCGCGUGCUAGUGAAUCAUCUCCAUUAAUGGUUCCUAAAAAUAGUCGUCUCCCAAUUGUGUACGUACCGUUCGCACCCACCCGACACCCCGCAAAACGACGUGAGCCCACAUGCGGGGUACGGGUGGUCCCCAAGAGGUGCACGCGGAGGCAAUUACGGGGAUCGGUGCUUUGGGGCAAUAAAGAUAUACCAUUAUCCAAAAUGGCUGUAAUCUCUGCACCUAAAUAAAGCGAUCUGCGUUUCGGAAAUAACGCUACGCCUACCGCCACAUUCUUCCCGAUAUAAAUGACACCCACCGCCUUCCUUCAACCUAUUCUGUCUUCCUAGAGGUCGAAAUCUUGGAAUCUGGGAAGAAGAGGAGGAGGAGUUUGGAGCUACGAUCGAUCGGUCAUGGCGGCGUAUAGGACGAUGGAGGUGACGAUGAUAUCCGCCAAUGAUCUCAAUGACGUCAACAUCUUCUCCAAGAUGGACGUGUACGCCGUCGUCUCCAUCGCUGGCGAGCCUCGAUCCUCGCAGCGCACCCCGACAGACAAGAAUUGCGGCAAGAACCCCUCCUGGAACGUCACCCUCCGUUUCUCCGUCCCCGCCGAUCCUGAUGCCGCCGCCCGCCUAGUCCUCCACGUCCUCCUCCGAUCCGAGCGCGCCCUCGGCGACCGCGACGUCGGUGAGGUCCACGUCCCCGUCAAGGAGCUCCAGCCCCCUUCCUCGUCGUCUGCGCCGCAGUUCGUGAGCUAUCAGGUCCGUAAACCCUCCUCCGGCAAGCCUAAGGGCGUCCUCAAUCUCUCCUUCAGGUUCCUCGAUUCCCCCGCUGCCGACCACGCGGCCGCGGCGCCGACCGUCGCGUACCCGCCUGCAGGCUUUCCCGCCCCGGGAGCUGAAUCCAAGCCCGCCGAUUCCGUCACGGCGUACCCUCCGCCGGGAAAUGACUCAAAAGUCGGGGAGCCCGUCACGGCCUACCCCUACCCGGGGACCAGCAACUCCACGCUUCCUCCGCCAGCUAAAGACUCGAAGACCGGGGAGCCUGCAACCGCCUACCCACCACCGGGCCCGUCUGGUCCCUACCCGCCACCGGGGGGCUACCCUCCCUACCCCCCGCCCCAGCAGUAUGGAUACGCGCCUCCUCCGGCCGGAUACGGGUACCCACCGCCGCAGUACGGCUACGCGCCUCCUCCGGGGGGUUACGGGUACCCACCCCCGCCGGCCGGGUACGGGUACAGCGCGGUACCCCCGGCGAAGCCGCCGAAGAAGAACAAGUUCGGAGCAGGGCUGGGCGCGGGGCUCCUGGGCGGCGCCCUCGGCGGCCUUCUCAUCGGGGAUAUGGUGUCGGACGCGGCGGCGUACGACUCGGGAUACGAUGCGGGCUUCGACGACGGCGGCGGUUUCGACUUCUAAGCCUUCUUCUCUGAGCGUCGAUAGAUAUGGCAUCGCGUUCUACGUCUGAUGCUCGUCUUCGGGUUGUUUUUGGUGAUAGUUUGAAGUGUUCUCGUUAAUAAAGGGGCGCGGUGGGUGGACCAACUUAGUGUCGUGGUGGAUCGGUCCAUCUUUGUCUUGUAUAAUACUUGAUCGCUACUAUUCCUGGCCUCGAUCGAUUUGAUUGAUUCAUUGGGUUUAUUUUUGGAUUGGUCAUGAGCUCUUACUCGAACAAAGGGCAUAAUUUGGGACAUGAUUUGAUCAAUUUUGAUAUUCGAGACAUGGCUCAUGGAAAGGUAUCAAUUUGUUCGAGUUCUUCCAACACUAAAAUAAUAGGAGAGAUUUGGCUUUCGUUUUGUCCAACCAAAUUAUAUGAUCAUACAUUUGGAAGGGAAGCUUAUGUUUACAUGCCCAGACUGCUCAUGUGGACAUUUCGAAGCAUCGAUGCAUACAGAUAUGUAAACAUUAGCUCUCUCCUUAAGAUUCAUACAGAUAUGUAUACCUCCUUCACCCAAGUCGUCCUCAGAAGGAUCAUACCUCCUUCACCCAAUUCUUAGGAAAGAGUUGUUGGCUUUCGUUUGUCCAACCAAAUUAUAUGAUCAUACAUUUAUUUGGAAGGGAAGCUUAUGUUUAUACGAGCCCAAACUGCUCAUGUGGACAUUGGGAAGCAUAUAGAUAUGUAAACAUGAGCCCUCUCGUUAAGAUGCCAUGAUUGAUUGCUGUUUCCCCUUCAAAUAAUCCUAAGAAUAUGAGAUGCAUUGAAGCAGGUCUUAUUUGUCAGAGAGGUUUUUGAUAUGUAUACCUCCUUCACCCAAGUCGUCUUCAGUAAGGAUCGAGGUCAUCUCAUGAAUGAGGAAAUAUCCAUCACUUCUUAUCCGGAAGCUUUUCUAUCAACUCCGGGAUUACCUCAAACAGAUCUGCGACCAGUCCAUAAUCUGCGACCUGCAAAGAAUCACAAGAAAUGAAAUAAGACUCAUGUGGACCUGCAGAAGAUAGUCAUUAUCAACUUCAGAUGAUAUUUGUUUCCCUCUACAAAUGAUAUUUGCCAAAUAAAGAUUUGUUCAUUUUCAUCAUUAUCAACUUCAGAUAAUUACUGGAUAAAAGUUAACCAGCCUAACAAUUUUUCUCGUUUUUGCUACUCAACAUAACCAUGGUUGCUUGGUAAUUAAGCUACUUCAGCUCCAGCUUAAGAAAAAGGAAGAACUUGUCCAUCAAACGUGAACUAAUUUUAAAAUUUUUGCUGCAUGUUAUAGACCAAAUCUUGAAAUACCAAUGUUCUUGGUAACCAAUUAAUUGACUGCUAAGAUACAGGAGGGGUUUAUGAAACUUGGUAUGAUUAAAAUAAAAAAUAAAAAAAGAAUGAUAUAAAGCGAUAAGUACCAGUCAGUCUGACUGGUAUUUAUUAUCUUGUGAAAAACAAAGGAUGACAAGUGUGACGAAUUUCUAGAACGUUACUAGAUUAAACUCGGCAAAAGUUUGUGAGCAUUCUAAUGCACAUCAAGUAAAGAGAGUAAAAGAACAAGCCUAAACUUUGGAAACAGCAAAACUCCGUAAUUCUUUACAUUCCAUGCACCAAUCACAUCCUUAAUAUGUCAUCCAUAAACAUGAACCAAUCUGUACGCUAUACAGUGAUAGAAGAUCUAAAGGGACAGAACACGAAGAGAUGAUCUGGCUUAGGUCAUCUAGGCAAAAGCAUAUAAUUAAUAUAACUUCCUUAAAGCAACUUAGUGGUACUAUUCAGUUCACAAAUGCCUAGGAGUUUGUACACCCUCAAGAAAAGAUUGUGCUGGAUAACUAAGGCAGAACUUAGGACAUCUGAUCCAACAGAUUAAUUAGUCCACAAGACAUUGCUAAAGAAUUGGAUCAGAAAAGCAAAAAAAUAUUUAAUAUGCAAGGUAUAGAAAUCUAAGACAGGAAAAGAUUUUGGGACAUAAAGCAUAGAAAUAGAGGAAGCAUUUUAUAUCAAUACAAAUUUAGACCACAAUCAUGACAAACUAGUAAGAGCUAAGCAUACACUCCAGCAAUUAAGUUAGAACUAAAGCUGUUUGUGAGUGACAAGUUACAUAAAACAAACCUUUGGACCAAAUCUGGUCUUAUCACAAUGGUUAGAACUCCAUGAAUUAUGUUGAACUAAUUCAAAAAAACAGGCAAGCUUUUUGAGGCUUUAUCAGAGAAACUAUUCGGUUAAUAACACCUCAAAAGGCUUGCUCAUUUGCAACACUAUAUCACCAAUAAAUUCUAAGAAUAUUCAGUAUAAUAUAUAGGUAACAACCAUGCCUCUUAAUCUAAAUGAAAGGCUUAAUAAAAAUGAAAGGCUUAAUAAAGACCAUCACCUGAAAAAUGGGUGCAUCUGCAUCUUUAUUUAUAGCUACAAUGACCUUUGAAUCUCUCAUUCCAGCCAAGUGUUGGAUGGCACCAGAAACCCCAAAAGCCAUAUACAGCUCUGGAGCAACAAUUUUUCCAGUCUGACCAACCUGAGAGAAAAUUGAUGUAUGAGUAGGCCAGUUCUUACCAUUAUCCAAACUCAUCCAUACAAAAAUGAUUAAGACUAAAAAAACAAACAUAGAAACACUCAAUGAUGAAGCAGUGACUUCUGGUAGAGUACCAAUUAACUAUUAGCAGUCUUGUGUACUUAACAAAAGAGGAACCAUCUUUGCAGAUUGUUGGCCACUAUAUGUUAGCAAAGAAAAAAUGGAACAACUAGAAGAACAUCUAUAUUAUAAACACAAGGCACAAGCAGUGAGCAUUAGAUGAAGGAAAUAGGACAAAAAUGUAACAGUUUCGCACAAGUUUAAUAUGACCAAGUUGUUAUUCAAGUGUUACCUGGAGGUCAUUUGGCACAAAUCCUGCAUCCACAGCAGCCCGAGUGGCACCGACUAUAUAAAAUAAGAUAAUGAUAAUGAUGAGUAUUACAAAUUUAAAUAAAAAAGUAAAAUACCUAAAAGCACAUAUGCCUUCUUAAAUUGCUGAAGCACUGCAGAAGGGACUUUAACACAGCAUGUUUAAUAUUAAUGUAGGCUGCAAAUAUUCAUUUAGGCAACUCAGCACUUUUAUCGAAUAUAUGUUUGAUUAUGGAAACAGAUGUGAAGUACAAUAUUAGGUUGGAAACAGAUGCAAAGUACAACAUAUGUCUGAUUUAACAAUUUGCAAUUAGAUGCAAGUAAACAAAUAUGUUAGAAAAUAACCCACUGAAGAGCUAUUCUAAUUUGUACUUUCAUAGAAGAAACCAUAAAUGCAACAGGAAAGAGAAUAGGUUUACUGAGGGUUAUCUAAUCCAAUGUAAUACACAGCGAGGUAGCUUAAUUUGAACAAAAGGACUUGAACUCCUGUUCAAACAAAGUUAAUAAAUUUGUAUUAGUUCUAUGAAUGGGUAUGGAUCUUCUUGGGUUUCCAUAUUAAUAAUGGGACAACCACAUCAAAAUUCUCUUUCUAAUCACUAGUAAAAUCAAAAUUUACACAUAAGAGACGACAUUCAUCAAUGAUAAACUACAAAGAGUAAAAACUAUUCAGUAGUGCAAUUAUUAAUUGUGCUCUGAUUAUAAUUAAAGCCAUCAUGCAGGCAAGAAGAAGGGUAUGCCAUAUACCCCAUGAUAAGCAAAACAAUUUCAAACAUGCUUUAAAAAUUUUAAUUAUAUUCAACAUGUAUACAUCAUGAGAUGCAUGUUGAUGAUGCUAGAACAGAAAAAGUAUACUCUUUUCAGUCAUUUUAUAUGCAAGAUGAGGCUCAGUGUCUACCUGCUGCACCAAGCUUCUCGGCAAGCUUCUCCAAUAAUUUAAAGUUCUCAGCGCUUUUUAACCCACGCCCUCCAGUGACAACAACACGUGCAUUUCCUAGAUCGGGUCGCUCUGAUUCCUGAGAUACAAGCUUCAGCCACCUAGAUUUGGGUACGGAACCUGCCAAUGGAAAAAAAAAAGGAAAAGAAAAUGUUCAGUCCAACACUUAGCAAGUUCCAUCAGUUAAAUAUAUGAGAUAAAGAUGGUGGCCCAGUGACAAGACUCCCACCAAUACAUGUGGUCUUAUCCCUAUAAGAGAGAUUGUUUUUGUAACUUGGAUCACCCAGGUUGCAAUGGCGCAGUCUUACUAAUGAUGCCAACACUCACCAAUAAUAAAAAGCUCCACAUGCUGUAUUCAGAUAAUAUAUGUAAGAAAUAAAAGGUAAGGGCUAUACGAACCUUCAUCAAAGGUUGAGAGAUCAACUUGGGAGAUUGGUGCUUCAACAGACUUUGUCUCAGUUGAGCAAGAAGGCAGGGUGAAUGAUGUGGACCUAAUGGUCAUCAUACAAGGGCCCUUACCAGCAUAACGAACGGUGCAAAGAGCAUUACCUGCAUAUAUUGGCCUACAAAAAACAUUUAGAUAUCCUUAAAAUCCAAUGCUAAUAAAAGGGUACAGAGUCAAAAAAAGCAACAUAAGCUCCAAGAAACAUUAAGGUAAACCUACAAUGCGUAUGCCUAUGCUUGUAAAUUGGUAAACAAAUUGCAGAAGAAAUGAUAGAAUUAACUGACAGGUUGUUUUUCCUAGGCAUACUGAUCAGUAUGAGAUGGUAUUAUCAAUCCGAUCAUAAAAAAGUAUACAUACCAUUGUUUUUGCCUGGUUUUGGUUCAUACCAAGCCUACCAUCCCAUGUUACCUUAUAAAUGUACCGCCCGCCCGUAAUAACAAUGUCAAUUUUUUAUUAUUUCUUGACAAUUAUGAGAAGUUGUCUUUUUUUUUUUUUUUUUUUCAUUCUCUUCUCUCUCAUGCUCUCUCUCUCUCCCUCUCUUUCAUGCACGCUCUCUCUCCACUCCUCCCCACCACAUCAUCAUCACCUCUUCCAUCUUGACAAUCACAAUACCACCAGUAUGCCUCCUGUUCGGCCUUCUCUUCCUCUGUCACCACCUCCUGCUCUUCUAACUCUUUCUUACAAGUCCAGAUGGUACUGAGUACUGACCCAUCCAGAGUGCCAGAACCAUACCAGUACCAUACAGGUCCAAUGCGAAGCAGUAUUGGAGUCAGACCAAAAAUUUUCAACAUGGCUCAGUUCAACCUUUAACUACCACAUAACCUAACUCAAUCUACUUUAAUAUAGAAAAAUGUCAAAAUACCUUAUAAACAAGUGUGGCUCAGCUAUUUCAACUACAUCUGUAACAGGUGAAACAUCAAGAAGAGCUGCCGCACGUGGUAGCACAUUUUUGCCAAAUGAAUUUGAAGUGGUAAUUAUAUGUGAAUAAUUACCCUGAUGCUGAACAAAAUUAACAAGUUCAGCCCAAGUUUCAGCCAAAGGAUGCACUAAUAUGUCUGCAUCAGCAACGAGAACCUGUAGAAGAAUUGGCAAAUAGAUCCACCAUUACUAGUACCAAAAAAUGUUCAUAUAAUCAAGACUGAGACAUGAAAAUUGUAGCAUCCUUCACUGAAAGAAUAAAGCCACUUGAAGAUUAUUACAGUCAUAGAAUCUCUUUUGAAAAACCUAACAUCAUGGAAACAUUUUAUUUCUUAAACUUCAUGAAUAAUAAUUAAAAAUAUGUGUUUCUUAUUGUAAUUUUCAAUUAUUUAAAUAGUAAUAUUUUAGAAAUAAGCUACAAAAACUUUAAAACUAUGGAUCAGAAUAAUAAUGUCAGUGCCAAUAUAUAACUCAAAACCUAAAAUAAGUAAAAAAAAAACAGAAAGCAUGAUCAGUUAUUACCAAUAACAUGAAAUCAAAGAUAAAAGUAUUAAUUAAUAAUUCGUAUUCAUUGCUACUCAAUAAUACCAAGAAAGCUUCUACCACGGGCAACCUCACUGUUAGCAAUACUUAAAAGAUGUAUUCUCUGCCUCGCAGAAGAUUAUUGUUUCUUUCCUAUUGUGUUAAUUAACAAUUAUUUGGGAUAAUCUCCAUCUAGUGCCUAACUAUCAGUUCAUCUCCAUUUUUUUCAUGAAGGAAUUUUUAUUUAAUGGAAGAACAAAAUCAUAAUCCAGUAGUGGCAAGAACCGAAACACCUAAUUCCAUCUUGUAUUAACAGUACAAAUUAAUAUCUGAUUGGCAUUAAUACAAUUCAACAACACUUGGAGGGUACAUAGAGCAAUGCAAUAUUGGCAAUGUGAAACCUUGACCUUGAGUAUAUUGCUUUUUAGAAAACUAUAAUGUUUGUCCAUUAAAGUUAUCCUUUUGCAGACAUUUAAUUUUAGCAUUUAACAUUUUCUUAACACCGAGGCCUAAAGAAAUAUAUAUAUAUAUAUAUAUAUAUAUAUAUAUAUAUAUAUAUAUAUAUAUAUAUAUAUAUAUAUAUAUAUAUAUAUAUAUUAUUAACAGGCAAAGCAUAAAAACCAUGUUGAAUCAGAAAACUUUUAUAUUACUAAAACAUGGUACCUGUGACACUGAAGGAUGACAUGAUGCAGCAUGGGAUGCAGCUUUGCGGAGGGCCAGACCAGAUCCACCCAAGAGAACUGUGACUGAUUUUUCUUUGUUAACAACUGCAGCAGCGGCUAUCGCACUCAAAGAUGAUUGUUUUACCAAUCCACCUUCAUGUUCAGCUAAAACCAAUGUGCUUACCUUAGAAAAAUCAGAGUAUCAUCAAAACAACAAGAACAUCUCAUGCAUUAAGCAAGCAAUCAAGGUACUCAUGAGCCAUGAUCACACAGAAUAUGAUGGAACCAAAAAAGAAAAUGGAAAUAUGACUGACUGGCUAUAGUGUAACAAUGGUAAGCCAAGUAAUGACUAAUCUGAAAUACAAAAAUGAAGAACAAGGGCUGUGAUUUAUCGACACAAUUCAUGCAACCAGAAUACUGCUUAGGGAAAUGCAAAUGGCUUUGGCAUGUAGAAGCAGCAAUACUUGUUUUGACAAGUCACAAAGGAUGAAAAAAAGGAAACUUCACAUCUCUGUUAAAUGGGGCAGAGAUUGGAUUUGCAGUUACAGGGCAGCACUAUUCUUAAUAAAUGCUAGUCAAACAAACAACAGUAGGAUGCUCUAUAAAAUAAAUAAAAAUAACUCAGAAUCUUGUGGCCAACACUUAAGCAUCAUGUGGUCGACACCUCGGUUGCAUGACUGACACCUCAUUGCCAUGUAGCUCGCACAACUUCACCCUUCGGACAUUACAACCACACUCACGACUGCACCAUGUCCUACAAAUUCGACAUAGCACGAUUACACCCAACAAUGGAAGAGAUGCAUAAUUGCUCCUGGUAUUAAACCACGUCCCUGAGCACAACGAUCCAAACCCUCACUAGAAAAUUGUUCCUUAGGUAUAUUCUCUAAGAGACUCAUUCUCUAAUGCAUUUGACUCUUAAAGACUCAGCAUUCAACCAAUACCACCGACUCGGAGCUAACUUAACCUUCAAAAGAGCUUUGUCAAGCAUGCUCCGACAUAAUUUUUCAGGGUUUGAUGCAUCUCGAAUCAAGCGGACUUGGAAUUUCACAACACCACGCCAAGACAGACACGAAAAAGGAGCAUCCUAAUUAGACAACUUAACAACACUAAGAUAAAGAGAAUUAAUUUUCAUAGCAAGCAUUAUGGUAAAAUUGAACUUUCCCAAACAUAGGGGAGUUUCAUGCAACAGGUAGCCAUUUAUGAAGACAUUGAAUAAUUUACAGCAAUAUCUCACACUAAAAAUAUAUUGAAACGGAGUCAUAACCAAAAAAAGAAACUGUGGAGGUCAUGAUUUAUAUACAGCAGAGAUAUUGAUGUAAAAUUAAGUGAAAACCAUCGAGAGGAAAAAAAGAUUUCAGGCACAAAAUCUACAACAGAAAGCAGUAGUUCAAAAUAUUCAGGGUCAGGCACAUUAAUCCUUUUCCACCACUGAGUUAUAUUGAGACAAAUAUCACUAGUAAAAAUUAAGGAUCAUUAGAUCCCCUUUAUUGUUUCUAAUAAAGUUUCCUUGGGCCUUAUUCUACCACCUCCAUACUAACAAUCUGAAUUAACUCACCUCAUGGUGCAAUUGUACAUCUUAAUCAGUGUAAUCUUCUCAUACAACAUCAAAAAAUAACAAAUCAGAGGACUGUUCCACCAGGAAAGACAUAUCUGUAGACAGGAGUACUUUUAGUCGCUUAAAUUAUAUUUUAGGGUUUCAAAAUAUGAUUCAAUCUAAUAACAACUCACUAAUGGUACUGUCCAGCAAAGCAAUCAUGUUUAAACUGAAAAUGUAAUUUUUCCUAGAAAUACAAAGUAAAGUCAUGCUCCAGAGCGUAUUCCUUACUAACUCAAGAAAAUCCUCAUCUCACCACUCCAUACAUUGCGAAAGACCUUCUUGAAUUCCUAUUAUUUAACAACAUGAUGCAAUUUAACUCAAAACCUCGAUGCAUGACCACACUACUAUAGAGUAUUUAACCAAUUGAUCCCAUUUGUAUUAUAGAAUCAUAAGAGAGAAGCAGCAGAAUCGUUGCACUUGAAAACCCUAACUCAAUCGAAGCAAGUGUCUCUGAUCCGUACCAACACUUGUGGAGACGGAAACAGAAAGGCAAGAAACUGGAUAAAGAAUCGGGACUAAACGAAUCCCAGAUGACAUCGGAACCCGGAAGAGGAGGCUUACGAAACGAGAAAGCGAGCCGCGGAUGGGAGGAGAUGCAGAUGAAGGUGGAGACGGCGAGAGGGCGGAGAAUGGGCGGCGAUUCCUGAGGAGACACCUCUUGAGCAUCGCAACGGCCGCCAUCGUCGUCGUCUCGUCGAUCGCCGAUGCACAGGCGAGGCCUUCUCCCCGGAUUAAUACAAAGCAAAUUUGCACUUGAUACUCAUGCCACGUUUUGCUGACGCGGACAUCUUAAUUUUAAACGCAUAUAAAGAAUAGUACCCCUCUGAAUAUAUAGAUGCAAGGACUUUCUGACUAAUUACAUACCACAUAUAAUUUGAACUUAUAAAAAUAAAAUAUUUAAUCUUAUUUACUCUAAUAUCCUCGACUUUAUCAAGAAAAGAUAUAAUAGAUGAUAAUACAUAUAUAAAUGAUAUAAAAAAUAAUAAAUAAAAAAAUUUAUUUUAAUUAUUAUAACAAACGAUAGUGUUGUGGAUGAUUAUUGUGAUGGUAGUCAACGAGAACGAUACACUACUUAGCUUUAUCGAUGUCAAUCCGACGAGGAGGAGAAAGCGAAGACAGAGUGGUGAAGUAUUUAUGUUAGCAUCGGAAGAGAAAGAGGAGGGAGGUGAGACAUUUGCAUCAAUAUCGCGCUCUUCCUCCUUUGACAUUACUUGGCAUCUGCGUCAAGAGGAAACAUGUGAGGAGGUAUGUGAGGUAGAGCAAUGUGAUGUCGGAGGAGGAAGAGAAUGCGAGUGAGGCAUUUAUGUCGGUGUCACACGUGCAAGUGAGGCAUUCUCGUCGACCACCACAUCAUUCGAUGCAGCGCCGCAUUGCCUCCUCCGAGUCAACAUCGUAUGGCUUAACCUCCUCUUCGUUCUCGUCGACCACCGCAUCAUUCGAUGUAGUGUCAUACUACCUCCAUUGCGUCAGCGUCCCCUCGCUUUGCCUCCUCUUCGUUAUUGUCGACCAUCGUAUCAUCGAAAAAGAAAGAGGAGGCAGAGUGGUAUGAUGCUGAAACAGAUGCCUCACUUGCCACCUCUUCCUCCUCUAGUAUUACAUUGCUUUGCCUCUUCUUCAUUCUUGCCAACAACCAUAUCAUUUAGUGCAACACUACACAGCUUCCUUUGCAUUGACACCAUACUGCUUUGUCUCCUCUUCGUUCUCAUCAAUCAUUGCAUCGUCGCAAGAGGAAAAGGAGGCAGAGCAAUGUGAUGCUGAUGUAGAUGUCUCACCUACCUCCUCUUCCUCCUCUAGUAUAGUACCACUCUGCCUCUUCAUUCUCAUCAACCACCGUAUCAUUGAAAGAGGAAGAGGAGGUAGAGUGUUGCGAUGUUGACAUAGAUUCCUGACCUGUCUUCUCUUCCUCGUCCGACGCAGUACUGCUCUACCUCUUUGUUUUCGUCAAUUACCACAUCGUUCAAUGUGGUGUUGUAUCACUCUACCUCAUCUUUGUUCUUGCCAACCACUAUAUCACUGGAAGAGAAAGAGGAGGCAAAGUGGUACAAUGCCUGACGUAGAUCCCUUACAUCCCUCCUCUUCCUCCUCUGACACUACACCGCUUUGCCUCCUUAUUUUCAUCGACCACCACAUUGUUUGAUGCAGCAUUGCACUGCCUCCUCUACAAUGGUGCCAUACAGCUCUGCGUCCUCUUCAUUCUUACCAAUCACUGCAUCAUCGGAAGAGGAAGAGGAAGCAGAGUGAUGCAACAUCAACACAUAUGUUUUACCUGCCUCCUCCAACGUCGACGUAGAUGCCUUACUUCUUUGGCUCCUCUAUGUAAGUGUUGCACCAUUCUACCUCCUCUUCAAUCUCACUGGCUACUACAUCGUUUGGUGUGGACAUUGCUUUCUUUGUAUCGAUGUCGCACCACUCUACCUUCUCUUCAUUCUCACCGACCACUACAUCAUCGGAAGAGGAAGAGGAAGUAGAGCAGUGAAACGCCAACGCAAAUGCCUCACCUCCCUCUUCUUCCUCCUUCGACACCACACUACUCUACAUCAUGUUUAUUCUUGUCGGCCACCAUAUCGUUUGGUGCAACGCUACACUACCUCCUUUUUGUUCUCACCAACCACCACAUCGUCGGAAGAGGAGGUAGAGUGAUGUGGCAUCAACACAAAUGCCUUACCUACCUCCUCUUCCUCCUCCAACGCUGACGCAAAUGCCUUACCGCUCUGCCUCCUCUACAUCAGCGUCACACUGCUUUGCCUUCUCUUCGUUCUUGCUGACCAUUGCAUCAUUCAGUGUAGCACUGCACUACAUCUCUACAUCGGCACCACACUACUCGGCCUCCUCUUUAUUCUUGUCGACUAUUAUUGAAAAAUCUAGAGGCAACAUCACAUACCCAAUGGAAGAAUAAAAAAUAAAAAUCUCAAAUUUUUUUAGUAACACCCAAAUCCACGCUACACCAGAAAAAGCAAGGCAAACAAAGGUAAAACCAAUACGACCAACAUUGCCCUCUCUCAGAGAAACCUUACUUAUUACCAAGUAACAUACGUGUUGAGAAUCCCAUUCACAUUCCCAUCACACGCAGGAUGAGACAUAGCACAACGGAUAGACCCACUAGAUGAUGAAGGCACUAACAGCAUGGACACACAAUUCACGAACACCACGACACGGGAGGGCAACACUUCAGAAUGAGGUUGGCUUUUGGUCAAGAUGUUGCACUAGGUGGAGAGUUGACUCCUUCUGUAUGUUGUAGUCCGCAAGCGUACGGCCGUCCUCGAGCUGCUUGCCUGCGAAGAUGAGCCUUUGCUGGUCCGGCGGGAUCCCCUCCUUGUCUUGGAUCUUAGCUUUCACGUUGAAUUGUUCGGUCAUCUUACGUCAAGUGCUCUGCUAAUACUUGAUGCCAAUUCCUUGUCUUCUCUGAUACAGAUCUUGCUUUC
rnacentral:lncRNA from 1 species